rnacentral:lncRNA from 1 species
CACCCUCCUUCUGUGUUGUUGUAUCCAUAACACAGAUCAGCUCUUGCAACGUCUCCCUCGUUGUAAUUGCAAGAUAACUGCCCAGUAUCCGAUAGGAACCACCGACGUGUAUGGCUUUCAUUUUUAGAUGUGAAGGAGAAGGUGUCUUCAUCCCCAUUGGACACUAUGCUGUACUUCAACACGCCUUGUGCAUCUUCUGGGAUGUUCUCAAAUCUAUUGUUCCUCACUUUCCCACUUUUCCAACAAACUUUUCCUCGCCUCCUUAUCAUCAGUUCUUGUUCCCUCGGUUCCCAUUCAAGACUAAAGGCACCUCGAGUCGCACUCCCAUAGGUCAACUGCGAAAAAAGUAACCAACGAUGGCCUGUUUUGUGAUUAACACCUAACUUCAUGGUGGGGAUCAAAGUGUUGGUGGGAUAAUCAAAACUCUGCCACAAGAGAGUGUUUGUCCCAUUGGGGUGAAGGUGUUGAAGCACAAAGUUGCCUGUGUCCAACAAAGUGGCCACAGUGUUGUUGAUAGGUUGAGGUGGAGAAUACAGAAUAAUUGGUUUUUUCACAGAUGCAUAUUCUAUUUUCAGCACGCCAGAUAAAUUUAAGGAUAGAACUGCAUCGCUGUCGUCGAUAGAUUGUUCUUGAUUAGCGUCCCAAACUAUAGCAUUGUCAUACUCACUCAUUAUUGCUAAGUAAGGAAAAGAAUCAACUUGACCUCCAAUCUUAAUAAAUGCUAAAAGAUAUUUGUUACUCUUAGAAUACAGUGGAUGCAAAGAGGAGUUGAUUGUAUCACCAGGGUUUAAACUGUCAUCUGCUGCAUCAACAUGGAUAGAAGAACUCCACCACAACCACAGCUGCAUGAAAGCAAGCACAAGUUUCUGAAAGAUAAGCCUCAUAGGAUGCUUCAAAUAUUGAAAGACUAAUCUGCAAGAAGAAGGUGAGACUGUGAUACUAUGUCGUAAGUUGAAAUAAUGUGUAUGUACUUUUUAAGUGCAAUUUUGUUGUUGAAAUGUUAGUGGACAAGUGACUUCUCUUUAUUACUUUCUUUGUAAAAAAUUAUCUGUUAAAGCAUCAGAAAGCAAACCUGAUCAAACCCAAAAUCUAAAGAAUUGGCAAAGUGAUAACAAAAAGAAUCAGAAGACUUAAUUGAUUGUAACUGAUUUUUUUGUUCUGCAAUUACUACUACUACUACUAAUAUUAUUAUUAUUAUUAUUAUUAGUAGUAGUAUUAUUAUUAUUAUUAUCAUUAUUAUUUAAACAUUACAAAAAGAAUUACUAAAAAAGAAUUAAUUUAUAAAAAUUAAUUAUUAUAUUUAUUAAAUUAGAUAUUAUUAAUAAAAUAUAAUUUUAAUAUAAAUAAUUAUUUUAGUCUUUAAAAUUUAUAAAACAAUUUUUAAAGUGUUAUCUAAUUAAUUAUCAAUAACUUAUAUUUAAAAUUUGGUGAUUAAUUAAAUAUUAAUUUAAAAAUAUUUAUCGUAAAAGUUAUUUUAAAUAUCAAUUUUUAUAGUUUAUAAAAUAAUAUUUUAUUUAAUUAAUGUAAUAAUUAAUUAUUUUUUAUUUUUUACAAUUAAUUUUUAUUUAAUAUUUUUUUAGUAAUAUUUAUUUAUAAUAAUUAUAAUAAAUAACAAUUUAUAAAUUAUGUUUAUUUCAGCAAUGUAAGUCUAGAUAACACAGAAAAAUUUAGAAUUUCUCAAAGUCGUGGUCUAGAUAUGACCAACCUUUUCUGUUGGAAAAAAAAAAAGAAAAGAACUUUUAGUAAAAGAAAAGAAAAGUACCACUUAUCUUUACUAAAAUAAUUGAAAAACUAUGGAUAAGUGCUUACUCGGUGUUAGAUUGUACUUUUGAAGGUACAUGUUUUAUAAAAUAAAAAAAAAGGUUCGUUUCUCUAUACAAGGUAAAAUUAUUUUAUAAAUAAAUUAAAAAUUAUAUUUUACAAAAUUAAUAAAAAUAAUUUUUACAAAUAUAUAAACUAUGUUUAAUUCAUAAACGAAUUAUUUUUAAAAAAAUUAAGAUGUUUGCACAUGAUAUCAAUAUAAAGGGAAACACAUUAUCAAUGGCCGACAAAACUUUUUGUGUUAUGGGACCUAUAUCUUUCAUUUCCUUUUGCUUUUGAGUAAUCUCUUCUCUUCAAUGAUUGAACUUUCAAAGAUAUGAGAUAUCAUUUUAGCAUGGACAAGUUUAACACUUUUUUUCUCAAAAUAGGAAAAUUAUGAGGUCACAUUUAUUAGAGGUCCAUUAUAAUUUUAAAAGAAUUAGUAUACAAAAGUAACUUUAAAUUAGAAAGAGGCUUCUGUCUAUGUUUUUUUCUACAUUGUGUUUAACUUUACUAAUUUUAGUUUUUAUCUAUCCAACAUAAAUUUUCUCACUGUUUUGUUUUUAAAUUAAACAAUUUUGAUUUCUUGUCAACAUGUAUAAUGCCACUCAACAUUAUUUCCAAGGUUAAUUAUGUGCAUUUAGUUAGGAAAGCCAUGUGGAGGGUGAGGUUUCAUAGCUGUUUUUGGGAAGCAUAUCAAGUCUAAUGUGGAUAGUGCGCUCAUAAAUGUGCAAUAUGAAAGAUAAAUUGCCUUUAUGGGAGGACCUAUCUGCUUUUAAAAGCUACAACUCGAGAUUGGGCGUGUUGUCUUUGGUGAUUUUAAUGCGGUUAGAAAUCCUUCGGAGAAGAGAGGUAUUAGAGAAUGUGGCAGUCAAAAGUGUGAGAUCCUUGGCUUCAAUGACUUCAUUGAAAGGAAUUUUUUGGUGGAAUUUCCUGUCGUGGGUAAGAAGUUUACGUGGUAUAAGGCAAAUGGGUCAACUAAAAGCAGGAUUGACAGAGUUCUUGUUUCGGUUGAGUGACUACAAAAGUGGCCUAUGGGCAAACAAUAUAUCUUACCGAGGGAGGUCUCAGAUCAUUUUGCAAUCGUGGUUAAAUCAGUGGUGAGAGACUAGGCCGAAGCCUUUCAGGUCUUUAGAUGUGUGGUUGAAGGAGCUUGGGUUCAAGUAUAUGGUGAAGAAAAAAUGGAACUCUUAUCCUGGUCAAGGAAAUAGUAUGUCUGUGUUCAUAGUUAAAAUGAAGUGUCUGAAAGUUGAUCUUAAGAGGUGGAAUAGAGAUGUGUUCGGGCACCUAGAAUUAGGAAAAAAGAAGGUUCUGAAGGAGAUUGAGCUAGAUGGUCAAGAUGAAGAUGAUGCCCUACCUGAGAGUUUGAGGAUGAGGAGAGUGGCCCUCUUUAGUCAUGUAGAAGAGAUUAAUAAAAAACUUGAGUCUCUUUUCAGGCAAAAAGCUAGAAAUAAUUAGCUUGCGUUUGGGGAUUCUAACUCCAAGUUUUAUCAUUCUGUAAUCAAAUGGAGGAGGCUUAGUAAUGAGGUUAAGGUGUUGAUAUGGGAGGUGUGUGGUGUGAGAAGCCUGAGGUUGUUCGUAGGGAGGCGUUGAAGCUUUAUGAAGCUAGAUUUUCUACUUCUCAAGAUUUUGGAGUCAGACUUGAUAAUCUUUCAACAAUUCAUAAUCUUUCCUGUAUAAUAUAUAAUCAUUAGGACAUGCAUAUAUAUAUAUAUAUAUAUAUAUAUAUAUAUAUAUAUACUCCAUACCCAUUGGACAAAGAAUCUUUUUGGCCUCAAAAUUACGAUUAGGUAGAAUAUUUUCCUCUGGAAGCAUAUCCUUCAACAACUGAAGCAAUUUCGUUAAGCUUUUAUCAGUCCAUCCAUUUAUUGGCUUCUAAUUCAUCAAUCUUAACACCGUCGACAACUGUGUGAAGUUAGUUGAUCCAGGAUACAAUGGAGUCUCUGCAUCGCUUGACAUACUUCCAUAUCCAUGCGCUUCUACAAAAGACUCAGUUUCCACAUCACCAAUUAUGUCCUCCAAUCGAUCAUCAUCUACAUCAUCAUGUACUGCAUCAUCCAUGGUGGACCCCACAUAUUCUUCAGUUACGGAAACACGUGGUAAAUUUAAUAAUUCACCAUGCCAUGUCCAAGUUGUAUAAGAUCGAAGAAACUCAUCACAUAAAAGGUGCUCCCUGAUUAUCUUAACAUCCAGUAUCCUUCCAUUCAAACAGUUAACACACAAACACUUGAUCUUUGCUCCAUCAUGACCAUUAUUAUUCGCGUUACGUUGCACAAAUUGUAUAAAUUCUUUUACUUCUCUUUCGUACUUAUCACUUAUGCGAACAAAAUUAAUCCAAUUUUGAUCCAUCCUGUAAUAGUCAUUCAUGUGUUUUCUAAUGAGUGUUCUAUCUCACACGUUUGCUAAGGGUCGAACACCCUCAGACUCAAUACCAACACGAUAAUUUUAUUCUAAACUAACAUCUAACAUAAUAUAAAUUAAUAAUAAAUAAAAAUUAUAAUAAUAUACAAAAUAAACCAUGAAAAAUUGAAUCCACUAAAACAUAUUAGGAUGAAAUGCGAAGGGAAGCUUCAUGCACCCUAUGUCACAUCAUUAAUAUUUUUAGUUUUAUCUUUCAUAGACAAUGUGAUGGAAAAGAAUAAAAUGAAAUGACGUGAAAAUAGUUAAAACAAAUUUACUAGACCGUCUACUAAUAAUAAUAAAAAAAUCAUAACGGAGAAACUUGCAAGAACAGCUAGAUGGUUAACACAAAGGAGUAAGGUUGAAAACAUAGGAAGAAAUUAACAUGGCUCAAUUAAAGUGUUAACAAACUUCAAUCUACAUCUAUGGUUAAAAAUUCCCUAUUAACGUAUAUUAUAACUCAAAGUUUCUCUCGAAAACUCUUAAUUCUUAACUAGUUGAAACUGUUAUAUAAGACUCUAUUUAUACAAAAAUAAUUAUCAUAAUUAGUUUUCAUAAAUUAAACAUAAACUAGUGAAAAAAGUCACAUGAACAAUACUUUUACAAAUGAACUCGAAAUGUUAUGAAGGAUGAGAGACAAAAAAAAUUACAGUUUGAAAUAGGGUAGACUAUCUGAUACUAUCAAAGCCUAAGAAUAGAUGCAUUGAAGAAGAUAGACGAACUAAUCAAGCAUCAGACACUCUUGAACUAUCAUAUGAAUUAUUUUAUCACAUAGUGUAGGAAUGUUAAUAAAAUUUAACUAAACCAAUAUGCGAUGAAUUGUCUCAAAAAUUUAAAAGACUACGAUGGACAUUUAAAAAAAAGUUAAUAAAUAAAAAUGAGCAUAAAAAUAAGUUAAAAAAACUAAAAAGUAAAAUCUAACUAAAAAUAUAUGUGGCAUGUUAGCAACCAUUAAUAUGACGAUUGGAAGGGAUCUUCGUUGGCUGUUCUUUUGUGGAAACAUGUUUUCAUAGAACUUUAACUUUAACUUUGCUUUUGCACGUAAAGAGAUCCAACUGCUAUUUAGCAUGAUAUCUUUCACAUUAAUUUGGUCUAAAUCAUAUAUAUUUUGUAGUUUUUCUGAUGACAAUAUUUUCCCUUUUACGUCAUAGAUUAAUUGAAUAAAACUUAUUUAUUUUUAAAAUUAAAAGCACUUGAAAAAAAUAAAGAAUAAAUAAGAAGUUAUCUAUCUACUUAUAAUUUAUAAAUCUAAAGCAAACCUGUAACCACAUCAGAUUUUUGGCUUUGUUGUAUUUUUUAUUUUCUCUUUAUUUAAUUUUAUUUAAUUAUAAUAUUUAGUAUUUUUAACUUUAGUUUAUUUUUUUUAAGUUUUUGUAUUUAUAUAUUUAUAUAUAUAAAUAUAAAUAAAAAAAAUAAAGUUAAGAAAUAAAUAAAACAAAAUUUGUGAACAAUGUUCCUAUAUUACAAUAUUAACCUCUAUCUUGUUUGCUUAGCUCAAUGCUUUAUUUUUUUUAUUGGCAAUAAAAAAUAAAUAAAAUAAAAAUAGAACCACUUCAGGGGUGGUUCAACCCUUAUACAUAAAAAAGCUAAACCUAACGCCUCCCAAAAACCAAACCAACUCUUCUAUCCCUUACAAAACCAAGCAAAAAAACCUCAAGAAACUAACCUCUCGUACACUCCAAAGGAGCCAAACACCAAUCAGAAUAAGAAAACGAAACUAACAGGGAAUUUGUUGAAACCCAAGACCAAGCCUUUACCUGUGCCAACGCAAAGAUCUCUUUCUCGUCUGCCACUCCUCUAUUAAAAAUUAUACGAUUCCUGUGACUCCAAAUCUCACUUAUCACCCCAACCCGAACUCAAUGCUUUAUGAUUUUGCUUAGUACUGAGUGAAACCAAGGUGUUUCCAGUUUGAGGCAGUGGUUAUAGGUUUGACGGUAGUUGUAUUUCAUCUCAGAAAAUCAUAUUUUGCUGCUAUGUUUAUGCUUUCCACUUUCGCCUUCCUUAUCUUCUUUCUUCCUACUUAUCAACCUCCCAUUUUUUAUAACACACUUCCUUUCUACAUCUCAUUAAUUACUCUCUACCAUUUCAUUUCCCUAAGCUUCUGUAUAUUUGAUAUACCUCAUGCAUACAUAUGAUACACUACCUUGUGAUGCACUGUUUAUUUUAAAUGCUUUUGUCCUAAUAUGAAAAACCAAUAUUAUUCAUUCUGUUUGAUAUUUCCACCCAAGCCUUUUAAGUGUGUCAUUAUCAAAUUAUCUACAUUUCACACUAUUCCAUAUACUUCUUUUAUGUUCUUUUUUCUGUUGUAACAUGUGCUUAUCAUCGUUUGAAACAUCACAAACCGGUUUUAAAGAGUUAAAUUUAAAGUCGACUCCUUAAGAUGAUAUCAAAGUCAUUUAGAGUUUAUUCUAACAAGAGUUGUUGGACCUAUCGUGACAUUCACUAUCGAAUCAUCCAUGAAUGUCUAGUCACACGCAAUUCACUAUUAGACCACCCAUAAAGAUCUAAUCUCACGCAUGAAUUGACAGUCUCAACGUCAGGGGUAUGUGUUGAAGAUGUCACAUCGAAUAAAUAUAAGGUCAAUUCAUAGUGUAUAAUUUAUGCAAACCUCAUCUUACAAACCAAUUUUGUAAAGUUGACUCAGGCUUAAAUUUCACUUCUCACGACUCAUGAAUUACAAGCAUUUCAUACCUUUUUUAUUAUAACUUUUUGUAUUAUCAAAUGCAUAAGUUACAAAAAGAAAUCCAUAAGUAAAAUUGAGCUAUCUAUGGGACUGAUGACCAAAAAUAUGUAAGUAACUCCCAUGUAUAAGGCUAUUACCUACAAAUUUAAAAAUUUGUUAAAAAUUUCAUAUAUCAUAUUAGUAGAUAAUGUCCAUAUGUACUUAAAUACAACAUUCGUAUAUAAUUACCUAUAAACUAAAUUUGUAUUGUAAAUUACCUAUAAACUAAAUCCGUAUGUAUUACCUACAUACUAAACUCGUACAUUACCCCUAUAUAAUUACAUAAGGAUUUACUAUAAGAAAACAUAUAUAGAGAGUGAGUCACUAACUCUCUGAAAAGAUAAAAAAAUUACUCUAAUUAUAUUUUUUGUGUCGUGUGUGAUAUCAUUCUUGGCAGUAGGAAUAUGGUUGGUCUAAAAGUAGAUCAUGUAGAACCAACAAUGAAAGAUGUUUUCUAGUUGUUGCAUAGUCCUGCAUAAUUGUGCAGCAGUCAAGGAGCUUAGCUCGGUCAUGAAGUUACACGGGCUAACAAGGAUCAAGAAGAAUGGGUGUUGAAUUCUUGUAAUGUUUUUAGAUGAGUAAGUUGUGAUCGUGGGGGUAGAAGAGAGGCACUUUGACACGACCUGCAUACCAAAUGAAGAGGAUGAGAAUGUUUUUGGUGAAAUUCACAGCUUAACCUUUAACUCUUUUCAAAACAUCAUCAAUUUUUUAUGCAGCUUAUGUCACUGAGAAGCUUUUCAGAAGGGAAUAGAAAUUGCUAUAGCUUGAAGACCAAAUAGGGAAGGUAUUAGAUACUUUGUGAGCGCUUUGAACAUGUUUGAUUCGGGAAAAUAUGGAGGAAUUACAGAUUUCGCAGUAUGGUGCCAUCUGUUUUUGCAAGUUUUUGGUGCAGGACAAACUGGUACUCUGCUUUAAGUUUACUGUUUAUAUGAGGAAGCUAAGCUUGUUAUCUGUUAUACUACAACUUUUGUUUUAUGAUAGAUGAUAGACUUUGGUUAUUUGCUGUACACAUGGUUGAUUUGUAUGAGAAACAUGCAUAGUGGAUAGUGGAAAGUUAUAAGAGAGUUAUUUUUUUGUCUUCUACUUAGGAACGUAAACUUGACAAUUUUUAAAAAUUUAAGGGUAGAGAGUGUUGCAAUUUCUAAAGAUACUCAUAGUGAAAACUCUAUUUAUGGAUGUAGACUUGAUUAACAAUCGAACCACUUAAAAUUAUUUUUUUGUGAUUUUUGUACUUUGUUAUACCCUAUUUCACUUUCUCAUUCAUAUUUUCUAUUUAUUUUUGUUCAUAUUAAUUUGAUUAAACGAUCUAGUGAACUCUGUUUGUACUCAACAAAAUGGUAUGGUGAGUAUGGAAUGAAGAAACUCAAUCAAGAUGAAUUUUGAAAAGUAUGAGGUUGAGAAAUUCACUGGUUUGAAUGAUUUCGGGCUAUGGUCAUUGAAGAUGCAUGCUUUUCUAGUUCAAUAGGGUUUUCUUGAGGCUUUAGAAGAAGAUUUGAAGGGGUGUUUUGAAGUGAGUUCUUAAGAAUCCUAAGGUUUUUAAUGAUAAAAUUAAUGCCAAUGGACCCAAAUUUGUUAGGGGACCAAACCUUGCUACUUGAUCUUAUUUUCUUGUAGGUACUCUUACACUACAAGAAAAUCAUGAAAUAGAAACCAAUUUUUAGAGACCAAAAUAAUUAGUUACAAUAGGAACUAAAAUAGAGACCAUUUUAGAAACUAGAAAAAAAUUGGUUUCUAAAUUAGUUUCUAUUAUUUUCUAUUAUUGUUAAAUAGUUUCUAAAUUGGUAUCUAAUUAGCAACUAAGGUUUUAACUACCAAUUAUUUAGUUUCUAAAUUUGGUAGCAAAAACCUUGGUUGCUAAUUAGAUACCAAUUUAGAAACUAUUUAACAAUAAUACAAAAUAAUAGAAACUAAUUUAGAAACCAAAUUUCUUUUUAGUUUCUAAAAUGGUCUCUAAUUUAGUUACUAUUGCAACUAAUUAUUUUGGUUUCUAUUUCAUGAUUUUCUUGUAGUGUUAAGAAUCAAGAAUCUUUGGAUUAAAGAAUCAAGCUUGAAAGGGAAAGAUCCAAACUGGACUUCUAGUUGCUUAUCUUAAUUGCACUCUGUUAUCUUGAAAGUCAAAAGGAUUUCUUAAAUCAUGUACCAUGGCUCCUUGUGAAAGUAACUUUGUCUAAAGGAUAAGAACUUAUGUCUUCUUAUUUCUUAAACUUGUAUCUCCUUUCCACUUGAAUUAUGUAAGAUCUCAUUUGAUGUCUUUAAAUGUGAAAUCUCCCAUCUAUGCAAAGGGUAUGUGAGUAUUUCUAUUCUGGUUCCUCUUUGCCAAGAAUUCUUGAUUUGUGAAAAUCAUAAUUGCUAUCAUAAAAAAAUAACCGAUUAUUUUCACGAAACAAACGAUUGAUUCCCCUCUGACAACAUUGCAUUAGAGUUGAUUUAUUUCUCUAUGCAUUGAUUCUGCUGCUGAUUCCUUUUCAAAGUUGUUAUGAGUCAAAAUUGCACAUAUCAUGGCUUUGAAUUCGCUCUAAAAGGAAGUUAUGAUGAUCAUAACUGGAAUAUAUUCCAUAUCUUCUUGGAAAAUUAAGAGCCAUUAUGACUAGUCAAAGUCUACAUGUGCUAACCAUGUGAUUUCUGGUUUUAUCUGACGUGGGUUUGUGUGCCUCUAAACAGAUUCUUUUCCUUGAGGAAAACAACCCACUAAAAGCCAAAAUAUGUAGCUUCUUUUACUUCCUAUAUAACAAUGUUUUAUGCAGUUGUUUUCCUUCACAGAAUCAACCCAUUAUUUUUUUUACUCUCAUUUCAAAACUACUGCACUCUUCUUGCUUUUGAAAUUUCCUCCUUCCUCUAAAAGGAUGAAGACUCGUGUUGAGAAGACAGGAGGACGUCUUGAAAGCUGGUUUUCUAGAGAAGAUGUCAAGAUUGAGAAAUUCCUACAUGAAAUGAGUAUGAAAGCAAUCAAUAAUCUAAAGAUCAUUUCCUCAGGUGGUUGAAAGAAAAAAAGCUCUCUGAAGUAAGAGAUAUUUUGAAAGAACAUAUGCUGAAAACGUUCCUGGAGUUGUCAUGGAAUAUCUAUCCUGACCUUGUGAGGGUUUUCUACACCAAUCUUCAAAUUGUUGGUGAUAACAUCUGCUCACAUGUGAAAGAAGUUGAUAUGGAGAUAAUUCGUGAAGUCUGGACUGCAAAUGUUGGAUUGAAAAUGAAUAAAGGGAACAUUUGAGUUGUUGAAGAAUUCAACAAAAUGCAGUUUUAUAAAAGCUAUCUUAAGAAUCCCCAAUCCAAACUGAGGAACUUUUCUAUUGGUGGCCUAAAACUAAAUGAAAGAAUAGUGGCUUUUAUUGUUUCAUGGAUAUUAACACCAAGAGGAAGAACCCAGUCUAUGCUGACUGAGGAAGAUCUUGUGCUCAUUUGCAUCAUGAACAAGAUCAAGAUCAAUUGGAUACACAUUAUUAAGGAGCACAUGCAAAAAUCUAUGAGGUUAUGUGACUAUCAUUACCCAUACGCUAUUCUUAUCUCUAAAUUUUUGCAUUAUUUUGAUGUUGAUCUUGAAGAGGAGCAAUUUGAAGUGAUGAAGUCAUCACAUGAGGUGAACAAUAGUUCCCUUAGCAAGAUGAGUUUCACCAAAAUUAAAGGGAAAUGGGUAAGCAAAGACGGUGAUCAAGCUGGCUCUUCAAGUGUAGUUUAAGAUGAUGAAGAACAACAUAUUGUUGCUGCUGUUGGAGAUGAUGCAUGUGCUAAUGCUUAUGAUACUGAAGCUGUUGGUGCCUUUAAUGUUGGUCCAAGUACAGAAAACAUGGGAGAAUGCAUUACCUCUAUGUCACCAUUUGAAAGGUUGAUGGUGAGCAUAAUGGACAACUUUGCAGAUGAACAAAGAACUCAUCAUGAGUUUUGUGUGGUAAGAUUUUAGAAUUUGGACGAACAGAUUGAGGCUGUUCAGAAUCAACUCUUUGAGCUCCAAUAUGGGAAAGAGGAUUGAAGACCUUUAAAUGUUUUCUUUCUUAUUCUGUUUCAUCUUGGUGAACAAUUUUUCUUAAUUUUGUUUUUGUCACAUGUCUCACUCUAUUUGUGAAGACAAAUAGGGGGAGAUUUAUCUAGUUUAUGUGUUAAACUCUGCUGCAUUUAUCUAGUUUAUUAUCUGGUUUAAAUUCUGCUGCUUUGAGUUGUUGUUUAUGCUCUGAUUCUGCACCUAUCUCACUGGUUUUCACAUUGAUUUUGCUGGUUUUCUUGCUAGAAACCACAUGAUGAAAACUAGUUAUUUGGUGUUGUUUAAACCUGGACUUUAUUGCUAUCUAGUACAUGCACAAUUGCUAUUUUGCAGUUACUUUUAAAUUCAAACAUAACAACACAAGAAACCAGGGAUUUGUCUUCAUCAAAUAGGGGGAGAUUGUUGGACAAAGGCUUUGAUGACUCAAAAUCUUGAAGAUUGUGUGAAGACUAGUUGCUGCUUUUGUGUAUGUUUUUUGUAGUGUUUGAAAGUGUAAUCCACUUAGAGAAUUGAUCCAAAGUUGAUUUAAUCAAGUUUCUUUUGAAAAGGGGUUUUUCUAAUGUAAGUGGAAAAACAACCUGUUGAAUUAUUGUUUUAAUUCGUUGUUUUACACUAAGUUUUUGAAAAGCAUUUGGAAAAACUUGAAAUUUGUUGACCUUUUUGUCAAACCAAUUCAAUUGGUUGUUUCCGUAAAUCAACUUAUUGUUUUUUUGAAAAUCCUUAACAGAAUUUGUUAAGUUUGUUAAAUUUGUUUUAAUUGAUUUAAAACUGAUUUGGCUCGUGAAUUAAAUGUUUUUAACAACUAAUUGAAGUUUAAAUAAUUUGUUUUACGCUCCUAGCUGUGAGAGAUUGAGAUUAUCAUUUUACAAAUCAAGUUUUCCAAGAUUAUUAAAGGCUUUGGAUUCUUUCUUCAAGAGAAAUAGGAUUGCUUUUCGUUUUUCAAUCUGUGAUUAGACCAAGUUUAUUCAUUCCUUUUCUCUUGUACAUUGUAUUUCCGUAAAGAUUGUUGGUGUGUAGAUCCAGAGGUUGUUCUGGAAUCUGUGUUGUGAUUACCAAAGGAGGGUUGUGUUCUUGAAGGGUUCAAGAUCACCUCUUUGGUGUGUGUGGUGUAAAUCAAGGUGUUUGAUUUGUUAGUGGAAUACCCGGUGGUUUAUGGAGAUUGGAUGUAGCUUUUGGUUAAGACUGAACCAGUAUAAAACAUCUUGUGUGAUUCUCCCUAUCCUUACACUCUUUAAACUGCUUUAACUUUGAUUUUACACACUGCUGGUAUAAACAACGGAUUGUUUUGCAAAAACAACCGGUUGAUUUUCUAAAAUCAACUUAAAACGGCUUUGUUUAAUUUGCUGAACUAGUUUCUCUGCUUUGAUUUCUCAUUGACUUUCAUUAUACCUUCAAAGUUUGCAAAUUUUUUUUAUAAACAAUUCACCUCCCUAUUGUUUAAGGCCUCUAAUUCUAACAUAUAUAUUUAAAACUGGAUAAAUUCUUUGCAAAAAUAACGCUAACACGUUAUGAUAAAACCAAUUCUUUAGAGCUACAGAUCUUCUCAGUUGAACCAAGUUACAGCCAAUAAUAAUAUGACACAUUAUAUAUAUAUUACAAAAGUUUUUAUAAAUUAAAUAUAGACAACUUUACCCAUUUAAGUAGUGAUAUGGUGAUUCGAUCCACUCAUAUAUACAACAACAAAUUCACUCAUUUUUUCAGUUAUCUUGAACAGUUGAGUUACUGAUUUAGUUUCUAAAACAUUUGAAGAAAAAAUUAUUGAUGAGUCAAAGAAACUGAGACAAAUAAAAGUUUUGUCGGCCAUUGGUUUAAGAAAGAUUCAAUUAUUUAUAGCUUUCUGGUAAUGCGCUACCCCUUUGGUUUGGGUUAUGACCCAAUAAAAUUGAAGUCUCAAUUUUUGAAGAUGAAUUGUUUUCCUGUUUUAACUUUUUCAAUAGUGUACUCAUUGUUAGAUACAAAGAAAGUAUUCAUUGUUUACAUAACAGAGUAUUUGAUAAUUAUUAUUGAUUUGUUUUUUACUUUAUAAGAAGCUUAUAUAUAUAAAUUUUAUAUAAUUUUAAUUAUAUUAACUUUUUAAUUUAAAACCAUUAAAAAGGAGAACUACCUCAAGACAAAUGCAUAAAAUAAAAAUUAUAUGUCUAACUUUGUUUUGUGUAACUUUGUUCUUUCAUCAAAAAGAACUAGCUUACCCUAGGAUGAUUUUAGUAGGUAGUUGGGGGCAUGGACUAAAAAUAAAACGAACUUAUGCUAUCUCUAAAAUGUAACAAACAUUUCUUAACUGAUAAUCAUAAGUCAAUUUUUUUUUAAAUCAGUACAUACAUAUUCAGUAGAAGUAAUCGUUUCUACUGUAGAAGCAGUGAUUUCUAGUGUAGAACCAGUACAAGAUUCUAAGGAAGAUAAAUUCUCAGGAUACAUAUACCUUUGAACAUAGAAUGCUGGUAUUUGAGGUAAGGACACUAUUUCACUCUUGCUUGUUAACAUUAAUAUAAUGUUACUCAUUGUGGGUCGAUCAUUUGCAUAAUGUUCAACACAUAAGAGGCCAAUAUGAAUACACCUUUGCACUUCCUCAUGAUCAAAUACCUCAUUUAGUGAUGGAUCCACUAAUUCAAAAUAUUUGUCAUCUUUCCAUAACUCCCAUACCUGUAAGUAUUUACUCAAAUUAGACACAAUAAUAGUAUCAAGCCAAGAAACAAACUUACCAAAUUUACAUACAUGUCCAACUAGAUUCAAAGGGUGAUCAUCAUCAUAAAAACUAGUGUUUUUUCUUCCUGUAACUAUUUCAAGCAACAAUACUCCAAAGCUAUACACAUCAGACUUUGUAGAAAAAACUCCUUCCAUAGCAUAUUCUGGAGACAUAUAACCACUGCAAAAAAAAAUGUUACAUGAGAAAAAAAAUGUUAUUUAUACAUUGAUAUAAAAUAAAUGUAACAUAGUUUAGCAAGCUUACUAUGUCCCAACAACUUUGUUCGUAUUUGAUAUCGAGUCUUGUUGAGUAAACAUUCUAGCCAUUCCAAAAUCUGAAAUUUUUGGAUUCAUAUUUUCAUCAAGAAGUAUGUUACUAGCUUUCAAGUCUCUAUGAAUGACUUUGAGUCUUGAGUACUUGUGAAGAUACAAUAAUCCUUGAGCAAUUCCUUGUAUUAUGCUGAAACGCUUAUUCCAAUCUAGUAAUUUGCUUCUUGUACCAUCUUCUCCAUGUUCAUAUAAUAGUGACUUGCGUUAGAAUAUAUAUUAUGCAAAUGUAAAAAAUGUAAAAAAAAUAUACAUGUUUUGAUAGUUGUGCAUGAUAAUGAAAAGAAAAAUUAUCUAUUGGAUUCUUAAUCCAAUGCUUUGCAUUAGAAGUUAUAAUUAGGACUCCCAGGUGCCAAGAGUUUUAAGACUACGACCUAUACUGGAUUUAUAGUUGGUUGGAGGUGUUGGUGGGUUUGUCACGGUCUGCAGCUGGUGCAAGAUGGAAAGGACAUAUGUGCUUGUAUGCAAGAGAGUCAAAAGGAAUGUUAAGGACAUGAUGGAGGAUUCUGUUUUGAUGUGUCUUAUAACAGACCAAUAGAGGCAGGGUGUAUGCUGGUUUAGGGUUCUUUAUGCAGGAAACAAAAACUGUAUUUUUUAUGUGGUGUUUUGGUUGUUGUGAAAAUCCCUAAUUGUGUUUUUUGAUCAACUAGUGGUCUCACAUGUGGAUGGUAGCAGUAGAGGUUGUGGUGGGGAUUCAGACAUGUUGGGGGAUGUAAGUCGAAGUUGUAAACUCCAACCAAUCUAAGUGCGAGAUGGACCCUGGCAAGUAGGAAGUUGGUUUCUGAUAAAAGUGAGCUUAAAAGGAGCAAACAGGGGGAAGCCAAAGUCCAAAAAGGAGCGAAUGGAAGAUGUUGCAUUGAAGUGAUCUGUGACAAGUGCUACAAUCGUGCCACUGCAAGUUGGGUAGAAGGAAUGUCAAUGAGGUGGUGAAGAUAACCAAUAUUUUGGUGUAUUUUUUAUGGUUUUGUAGCUGCAGUUUUCAGUGCUUAUAGCAUUCCAAUUUGAGCAUAGUGCUAGCUGGAAUAGGAUGUUUAGCUUAUGCAGCAAACAUUAUCUAUCUAUUGCUUCUAGGGUGUUUGUUCAUCUCUUUAUACUUGGAGAUUCUUAAUGUGGUUUGGUUUAUGUAAAAGGGUUGGAUACCCCUUUUGUAUCUCUCUUAAUUUAAUUUCAUUCUUUGCUGAUAAAAAAAAAACAUUGUAAACAACACAUAAUUAUAUAAUGAUCAAUAUAUUCCUCACCGAAAAGAUAGAAAUCCAAGCUUUUGUUGGGCAUAUACUCAUAAAUUAGAAUCUUCUCUUCUUCAUGAAUGCAACAACCAAGUAGUUGAACAAGAUUCAUGUGCUGAAGUUCACAUAUCAGUGUUAGUUCAUUUUUGAACUCAACGAUUCCUUGUGCAGAACUUCUUGCAAGUCUUUUUAUAGCAACCUCCUCUCCUGUUGGUAAAGUUCCCUAACAAAAUGAGAACAAAAAGGUCAUGAUGAGUUCUCCAAAAAAUAGUUACCAACCCAUAAAAUAAAAUGAGGAUUUUGGAUCACCUUAUAAACUGGUCCAAAGCCUCCCUGUCCUAACUUAUUCUCUGAUGAAAACUCAUUUGUAGCUGCCACAACCAAUGAAUAAUCCAAUACUUUUAAACCGUGUUUCUUAUUCAAAUCAUUUCCAAAAUCUUCCAUUAGAGUCAUUUCUUUCCUUUUCUUCUCUGUUCAGAUGACAAUGAAAAAUAUUAAAAUAUAGUGAUCAAAUGUUUUAUGUAACAAUGAGUUAGAAGAAUGUAACUACCUUGAAGCACAUGUUUUCGUUUCUUUAUUGCCAGGCAUAGAAUCAACGCGCAAAUUAUGAGUAAAGUAGUAGCUAUUACUGUACUUAUCCAUAUCCACCCUUUUGUACCUGCAUACAACAACUCAAAAUCUUCAAGUACCAAUUAUUCAUUUUAUGGCUUUAUAAUUUUUUUUCAAUGUCAUUGUUAAGCGUUGCAGCCAAUGAGUUCUUUCCUUUUCAAUUUGUAGAUCAAAGACUGCUAAAAAAAGAAUUUUUUUUUGGUGCAGUUCCCUAAGAUCCACACCAAAGUUGUACAAACAAAGAAAUGCUCAAGAAUUAUUCACUCUUGAUAAAGAACCAUUCGAAAUGAAACUUCUUUUUAGUCUAUAAAAAAUGAAAUGAAGUUAGCAUCAGACCUACCGUGAUGAUGAGGGAUUAUGUUCCUUUUGUUCUCAAGUACGUAAAAGUCUUCACCCGAAACAGUGCCGUCAACUAUAUAAUCUUUUGAUGAAUUCCAUUGAUAGAAUCUACAUCCACUUCCAUCUGUAUAGAGUUCUUUGAAUCCACUGCAAUUACAAUUGCUCCAGCAAGCAGCCUCACAAUCACUGUGACUAAUAUUCUCAUUUUCUUCAUAGGUUACAUUUUCAUAAUUAGGGUAAAGACUCUUUUUGGUAAAGACAUCACCAGGAAUCCUGCAUUUAGGUAUAUCCUGCCAUCUUUGGCACCCUCCAUCUGUGUUGUUGUAUCCAUAACACAGAUCAGCCCUUGCAACAUAUCCCUCUUUGUCAUCGUAAUAUAACCGUCCAGUAUCCGAUAAGGACCAGAAAUAUGUAAUGUUUUCAUUUGUAGAUGUGAAAGAGAAGCUGUCUUCAUUCCCAUUAGACACUAUGCUGUAGUUCAACACGCCUUGUGCAUCUUCUGGAAUGUGCUCAAAUCUAUUGUUCCUCAGUUUCCCACUUUUCCAACAAACUUUUCCUCGCCUCCUUAUCAUCAGUUCUUGUCCCUUUGGUUCCCAUUCAAGACUAAAGCCACCUGGAGUCGCACGCCCUUCGGUCAAGUACGAAAAAAGUAACCAACGAUGGCCUGUUUUGUGAUUAACGCCUAACUUCAUGGUGGGGAUCAAAGUGUUGGUGGGAUAAUCAAAACUCUGCCACAAGAGAGUGGUUGUCCCAUUGGAGUGAAGGUGUUGAAGAACAAAGUUGCCUGUGUCCAACAAAGUGGCCACAGUGUUGUUGAUAGGUUGAGGUGGAGAAUACAGAAUAAUUGGUUUAUUCACAGAUGGAUAUUCUAUUUUCAGCACGCCAGAGAAGUUUAAGGAUAGAACUGCAUCGUUCUGGUGGACAGAUUGUUCUUUAUUUGCGUCCCAAACUAUAGUAUUGUCAUGUGCAUUUUGUAUUGCUAAGUAAGUAAAAAAUUCACCUCCACUUAAAAGCGAAUAAAAAUCCAGAAAAUAAUUGCGACUCUUAGAAUAUAGUUGUGAAGAGGAGUUGAAUGUAUCACCGGGGUUUAAACUGUCAUCUGCUGCAUCAACAUGAAUAGAAGAACUCCACCACAACCACAGGUGCAUGAAAGCAAGCACAAGUUUCUGAAGGAUAAGCCUCAUUUGCAAGAGGGUGAGAGUGUGAUACUGUGGUAAGUUGAAAUAAUGUGCAUGUACUUUUUAAAUGCAAUUUUUGUUGUUGAAAUGUUAGUGAACAAGUGACUUAUCUUAAUUAUUUUGGUUGUAAAAAAUUACCUGUUAAAGCAUAUCAGAAAGCAAACUUCAUAAAAACUAAAAUCUGAAGUGAGGUUGUCAUAUUCAUUGUAUAAAAAUAACUAUACAAUAUUUUUUUUCCAUAAAAUAAUUAUUGUUAUUAUAUAACAUUGUAAGUCGAUCAUAAUAAUUUCUAAAGAAUUGGCGAAGUGAUAACAAAAAGAAUCAUAAGAUUUAAUCAUUGUAAAGUGAUUUAUUUGUUUUGCAAUUACUAUUAUUAUUAUUAUUUAAAUAACAUUCUGUCAAGUAAUGCUUAUUUAUCAGCAAAAAAAUAAAAUGUCACUGGUCAUAAUAAAUAAUUACAAAAAUAUUAUUAGUGAAUAAAAAUAAAUAUAUUAUUUAGUUGAGUAAGACACCAAAAAUAAUAUAAUUAUUUUAAUUUAAAAUAUUUUUUAUUAUUUUUUGUUUUCAGCCUUAAACAAAGGAAAUUAAAGAAAACACUAAAGCAUAAUAUCAAGACUAAAAGUAAUAAAAAUGUUAGAGGAAUUUAACUUAAGUGCAUAACUUUAAACAUGCAUAAGCCUUGUUAAAAUCAUUUUAAAUGUACAAUUUGAAUACACAUAAUAUUGUUAUUAUCUAUGUGUGUAUAUAGAUAUAUUAAAAUACAUAUCUAAAAAUUAAGACAAGGAAAACAUGAAAAGGUUAUAAUUAACAAGUAUAUAAAUUACAAUUUCAAUACCAGUUUAGAAUUUCUGAAACUCGUGUUCUAGAUAUGACCAACCCUUUUCUGUUGGAAAGAAAAAGAAAGGAUCUUUCAGUAAAAGAAAAGAAAAGUAUCACUUAUCUUUACUAAAAAAAUUGAAAAAAGUAUGGAUAAGUUGAAUGAAUACUCGGAGUUAGAUUGUAUUUAAGGUACAUAUUUUAUAAACACUUAUAAAAUUUAAAAAACCAUCAUUUCUUUAUACAAGGUAAGAUUACUAUAAAUAAAUUAAAAAUUAUAUUUACAAAAUUAAUAAAAAUAAUUUUUACAAAUAUUUAAAUAUGUUUAAUUCAUAAACGAAUUAACUUUUAAAAUGUUUACACAUGAUAUCAAUAUAAAGUGAAAGACAUUAACAAUGGCCAACAAAACUUCGUGUUGUGGGACCUAUAUCUUUCAUUUCCUUUUGGUUUUGAGUAAUCUCUUCUCUUCCAUUAUUGAACUUUCAAAGAUAUGGAUAUCAUUUUAGUAUGGAUAAGUUUAACACCUUUUUUUCACAAUUGGAAAAUUAUAGUUCAUAUUUAUUAGAGGUCCAUUAUAAUUUUAAAAGAAUUAGUAUAUAAAAGCAACUUACAAGAGGCUUGAAUCUAUGUUAUUUUCUAUAUUGUGUUUAAGUUUACUAAUUUUAGCUUUUAUCUAUUUAACUAUAAUUUUUUCCAAGGUUUUGUUUUUAAAUUAAACAAUUUUGAUUUAUUGUCAACACACUAGUGCAAAAUAUAAAAAUAAUGACCAUUUAUUUAAUGCGUUUUUACUGUCAGAUGCUAUCAUUUAAAAUACGGUGCUAUUUUUUAAAUUAACUUCAUUUAAGAAUGCGACUAUUAGGUAAAGUCGCAUUCUUAAAACAAAGCGCUUUGUUUAUGAAUGCGGCUUUAUCUAAUACUUGCAUUCUUAAAACAUUUUUUACCCUUACUCAGAAACGCACCACAUAUGUUUUCAUACUUUCAUUUCUCUGGCACUUGGUUUCUCUUCUAUUCUUCUACUAGGUGCUUCCUAUCUUCUUAUAUCCACAUUGCAUGCAUUUUCUUCAUGUCAUCGAUGAGUCGUUUGGAGCUCUCUACUUCUUCUUCACCAUUGGUUUUUGUAUUUUUUCCAUUUCUCUUAUUUGUUUGUUUUCUGCCAUUGCUAGUCACCACUGUUUCAUUGGCACUGUUUGAAUUUUUACUGGGCCUUGCUCCGUCGCUGCUGCAGGUCUCGCGCCGCUCUUCACCACCAUCAUUGCCUUCACGCACAAGGUUGGUGGUGUUUUAUAUUUUUUAAUGUUAUUAAUUUGUUUAUUUAUUAUAGUUUGUAUUUUUUAAAUUUAUAUUAUUUUUGUUUUUAGGUUAGAAUAGAAUUAUUAAAUUAUUAGAUGAUAGAUAUAUUUAUAUUAUUGAUAUGUGCUAUAUUGAGUAUGGGGGUGUUCGAUCCUCAGCAAAUGUGACAUAGAACACUAAUUAGAAAACACCUGAAUGACUAUUACAGAAUAUAAUGGAUCAAAAUUGGAUUAAUUUUGUUCGCAUAAGUGAUAAGUACGAAAGAUGAGUAAAAGAAUUUAUACAAUUUGCGCAACAUAACGCGAAUAAUAAUGGUCAUGAUGGAGCAAAGAUCAGGUGUGCAUGCAUUAACUCUUUGAAUGGAAGGAUAUUGGAUGUUAAGAUAGUCAGGGGGCACCUUCUAUCUGGUGGGUUUCUUCGAUCUUAUACAACUUGGACAUGGUAUGGUGAAUUAUUAAAUUUACCAUGUUAUUCCGUAACUGAAGAAUAUGUGGGGUCCACCAUGGAUGAUGCAGUACAUGAUGAUGUAGAAGAUGAUCGAUAUGAUUUGUGAUGUGGGAGCUGAGUCUUUUGCAAAAGCGCAUGGAUAUGGAAGUAUGUCAAUCGAUGCAGAGACUCCAUUGUAUCCUGGAUCAACCAACUUCACACGGUUGUCGGCGGUGUUAAGAUUGAUGAAUUUGAAGACAAUAAAUGGAUGGACUGAUAAAAGCUUCACAGAAUUGCUUUAAUUGUUGAAGGAUAUGCUUCCAGAGGGAAACACCCUACCUAAUCGUAAGAGAGGUUAGAUUGUGUGGACCAGUGUACUUAAGAUGGAUGUAUCCUGUUGAGCGGUAUAUGAAAACUUUGAAAGGUUAUAUGAAAAAUCAUUAUCGUUCAGAAGCUUCAAUGAUUGAAAGGUACAUAGCUGAAGAAAGUACGUAUUAAAUUUUGUUCAGAGUACAUGUCAAAAGCAAAUCCAAUAGGUCUUCCAACUACUUCAUGGCACCACAGGCGUUCUACAAGUAAAUGUUUACGUGGUGUGAAUAUUGUAAGCAAAUCUCAAUCAGAAGUCUUGCAAGCACAUUUGUAUAUAUUAAAUAACACAGAUGAAGUUAUACCUUACAUAAAAGCUCAUAAAGUCAUUGUGAAGGCAAAUAACCCAAGAGAAGCAGAGAAAUGGGUAUUGAUGGAACAUAAUAGAACAUUCAUGCCUUGGUUUAAAGACGAGGUGUUAAAGGAUUCAACGACAUUGAAGACCUUGACCUGGUUGGCUGCUGAAUUGAAGUUUGAUGUCAUUUCUUGUACAGCGUACGAAGAGAACAAUUGUAUAUUUUACACGAAAUCUAUGGAUGAAAAUAGUACAAUUAAAAAUUCUGGUGUUAAUCUUGAAGUCGACUCAAUGCAGUUUUCCACUUCGAAAGAUACAAAUCUUGUACUUGGAUCAAUGACAAACUAUGGUUUUACAGAAGAGAUAUGGGAGGUUGACUAUACUAAGUUUUUUGUUCUAGUUUUCAAGUGUAAAUGGGUUGAAAAUAAAAGUGGGGUUAAAAUUGAUGAAUCUAAAUUCACACCAAUGGACUUUUGAAAGAUAGGGUAUCGAGAUGAGCCAUUUAUAAUGGUUCAACAAGCAUCUCAAGUUUUUUACGUCAAAGAUCCUACGUCAAAACAUCGGUAUGUCGUUUUACACGGGAAAAAACAAGGGAAGGUCAUAGAUGAUAUUGAAAAUGGUGACCCCCGUUCAUUCACACCAAUGAUAAUUAAUAAAGAUGACAAUGUAGUUGAUGAUGUACAUGCAACCCGUAAGACCAUAAUGAAGGAAUUUACACAUGAACAGUCAUCCUACUAUGGUAAUAAAUCUAGAAAUAUUUUUGAUAAUACACAUUUAGAAUUUUAUGUAUUUGUUUUAUAUGAUCUUCUUUUGACGCAGAUAUGGAUGACGAUCAAACGCCAAUCAGACCCUAAUUUGGACGAGGCAGUAAAAGACCUACUAGAUUGAAAUGUCUCUCAUUGAGAUGUGCUGCUGGUGAGAAUACACGUGUUGACAUUUAUGCCAACACUGGAGUGGCUUCUGCUCCUAAUGUUGAGACGUUUAAUCUCUAUCUUGGAGUUAUUUCUCGUGAGAGGCUCUCCAUUUUGAUUAAUUCAUGGGAUGAUGUGUUAGAAGUCGAUCGAAACAUGCUUUGGGAGGAUGCUCAGGCAAGCUCUACAUUAUUAUCGUUAUCAUAUAAUGCUUUUUAACAUUCAUUGAUUAGUUUUAAUUUAAUGAUAUUAUGUUGUAGACAAAUUUUGAAAUCCCUAAUGUGGAACCGUGCGGUGAAGGUCACCACUGCUUCAUUGUCUGUUGUUUGGGUUUUUGUUAUGCUGUAUUUGCUCCGUCGUUGUUGUUGUUGUUGUUGCCUUAAGGUUUAGGGUUUUAAUUUAUUUUUAUUUUUAAAAAAGAAGAAUGCGACUAUUUACCAUAGGUACAUUUAUAAAUUGCAUUUACGAAUGCGGCUAAAUAGCCGCACUUGUAAAUCUUCGAUUUAAGAGUGCAUGUUGAUCAAGUGCGACUAUAUAGCCGCCCUUAUAAAUGUAAAAUAGCCGCACUCGUUUUUCCUUUCUGCACCACUGAAAACUCAACCAAACAACUUUUUUUUCAUGCUCAAACUCACUCAUAGGCUUUAAAGAUAAAGUGUAUUCUAUUAUCAAAUGUGUGAUUUUACAUGAGCAAAGGUGCUCUUUUAUAGCCUAAGAGUCAUGAAAAUUAAGCCUCUAAGGAGAGUGUGAGACUUCUUAACACAUGAUUUCCUUAGGAUUUUCUUAUUCUACCCUAAGUUAGACUUAUUCUAAGAAACAAACACCAAAACUAUGAAGAAGAUAACAAACAAGACCACACAAGUUGUAGAUUUUUUUCUCUUUGGAUUCUUCUAUAUUUUUUACAUUUUAUAAGAGUCCUAAAGUCUUAUUGACUUGAUGAAGUUCUUAAUUUAACACCUUAACCUUGCUUCUUAUAAGAACUUCUCUAAAAUCCUCUCGGAUGGUCCGUAUUCUUUUCCAUUUCUUUAACUUUCCUUGUUUCUUGUGAUCACUCCGUCUUGUGUUGAUAUAUUUUGAACCAUGAUCUCCUCAUUAUAUAGCAAUACUAUAAGUGACUCACAUAAAACAUGUAUAGAGUAAAAAAACACAUGAACAAUGUUUGUCAAUUAGAUGGUUUCACCAUAUUGUUCAAGUCUUAGUAGGCGCUAAUAAACCAAAUGGUCUACUAAGACCAUCUACCAAAUAUGGUAGAAACUGUAUAUGAAGCUCUGGAAGGUCUAACAUGAAAAGACAGUCUAGUAACCUUUAAAUAAGAUUUUAUUGAAUCAAUCUUCACCCAUUUAAAUGAUUUGAGGAACAAAUUAAAAAUAAAAGCAAAUGUUUACUAUCUUAAAAAUAUAACAAACAUUUCUUAACUUGCAAUGAAUAAGUAAAUAUCUAGUUUCUUUUUUAAUUAGUACAUAGCUCACUCAGAUUUGUUCUAUUUCCAACGAAGUAGUAAUUUCUACUGUAGAACUAGUACACAACUCUGAAGAAAAUAACUUCUCAUUAAACAUCUCUCUUUGAAUAUAAAAUGCUGGUUUUUUAGGUAAAGACACUAUUGCACUCUUGUUUGUCAACAUUGAUAUAACGUCAGACAUUGUUGGUCGAUCAUUUGCAUAUUGUUCAACACAUAGGAGACCAACAUGAAUACACCUUUGCACUUCAUCAUAAUCAAGUGACUCAUUUAAUGAUGGAUCCACUGAUUGAAAACACUUGUCAUCUAUCCAUAGUUCCCAUACCUAUAAGUGUUUUGUUCAAAUUAGACAAAAAGAAUAUUAUACCAAAAAACAAACUCAUCAAAGCUAAUUUUACAUACAUGUCCAAUUAGAUUUAUUGGGCGAUCCUCGUCAUAAAAACUAGUGUUUUUUCGUCCACUAACAAUUUCAAGUAACAAGACCCCGAAACUAUAUACAUCAGACUUUGUAGAAAAAACUCCUUCCAUAGCAUAUUCUGGAGACAUGUAACCACUGCAAGAAAUAUUACAUCAGAAAAUAAAUUUUAUUUAUAGAUUGAUAUAUAAGAUAAAUAUAACCAAGUUUAACAAGCUUACUAUGUCCCAACAACCCUGUUCGUAUUUGAUACUGAGUCUUGUUGGGUGAACAUUCUAGCCAUUCCAAAAUCUGAAAUUUUUGGAUUCAUAUUUUCAUCGAGAAGUAUAUUACUAGCUUUCAAGUCUCUAUGAAUGAUUUUGAGUCUUGAGUACUUGUGAAGAUACAAUAAUCCUUGAGCAAUUCCUUGUAUUAUGUUGAACCGCUUAUUCCAAUCUAGUAAUUUGCUUCUUGUACAAUCUUCCACAUGGUCAUAAAGUGAUGUGCGUUAGAAUGUAUGUAAAAAGAAAUAAAUGACUUUUCUUCAUGAUGUUCUAACUACUAGGAAAAUUGAGUAAUUAUAGUAAAUCUAUCAUCAACAAACAACAAUGAGAGUUGAGAAAGAUCAAUGUUGACCUAAAUAUGUGUUUGAAUAGUUGCAUAAUAAUGAAAACAAGUUUUAUCUGUUUGACAUGUUAAACAACACAUAAUCAGAAAACAUAAUUAGAUAAUGUUCAACACAUUCCUCACCGAAAAGAUAGAAAUCCAAGCUUUUGUUGGGCAUAUACUCGUAAAUUAGAAUCUUCUCUUCUUCAUGAAUGCAACAACCAAGUAGUUGAACAAGAUUCAUGUGCUGAAGUUCACAUAUAAAUGUUAGUUCGUUUUUAAACUCUACAAUUCCUUGUGUAGAACUUUUUGCAAGUCUUUUUAUAGCAACCUCCUCUCCUGUUGGCAAAGUUCCCUAAAGAAAUGAGAACAAAAAGACCAUGAGUCCAACGAAAUAAAGUUAGCAGCACAUAACAUGAGCAGUUUCGAUCACCUUAUAAACUGGUCCAAAGCCUCCUUGUCCUAACUUAUUCUCUGAUGAAAACCCAUUUGUGGCUUCCACAACCAUGGUAUAAUCGAAUACUUUUAAACCGUGUCCCUUGUUCAAAUCAUUUCCAAAAUCUUCGAUUAGAGUCAUUUCUUUCCUUUUCUUCUCUGAUGAAAAUAAGAAAUAUUAAAAUAUAGAAAAGUGAUCAAAAGAUUUUGUUUAACAAUGAGUUUGAAAUAGGUUACUACCUUGAAGCACAUGUUUUCGUUUCUUUAUUGCCAGGCAUAGAAUGGAUGCGCAUAUUAUGAGUAAAGUAGCUGCUAUUACUGUACUUAUCCAUAUCCACCUCUUUGUACCUGCUUACAACAACUCAAAAUCUUCAAGUACCAAUUAUUAAUUUUAUGGCUUUAUAAUUAUUUGCAAUGCCAUUGUUAAGCGUUGCAGCCAAUGAGUUCUUCCCUUUUCAACUUGGAGAUCAAAGACUGCUAAAAAAAGAAAUUAUUCACUCUUGAUAAAGGGUGUAUUCAAUUUAGGUAUGAUUGGAAUCUUUAGACUUUGCAGUACGCAAUUUAGGGUAUGAUUGGAAGCAUUAGAAAUGAAACUUCUUUUUUGUCUAUAAAAAAUGAAAUGAAGUUGGCAUUAGACAUACCGUGAUGAUGAGGGACUAUGUUCCCUUUGUUCUCCAGUACGUAAAUGUCUUCACCCGAAACAGUGCCGUCAACUAUAUAAUCUUUUGAUGAAAUCCAAUGAUAGAAUAUACAUCCACUUCCAUCAUUAUAGUAUUCUUUGAAUCCAUUGCAAUAACAAUUGCUCCAGCAAGCACCCUCACAAUCGCUGUAACUAAUAUUCUUAUUAUCGUCAUAAGUUACGUUUUCAUAAUUAGAGCGAAGACUCUUUUUGGUAAACACUUCAUCAGGAAUCCUGCAUUUAGGUAUAUCCUGCCAUCUUUGGCACCCUCCUUCUGUGUUGUUGUAUCCAAAACACAGAUCAGCCCUUGCAACGAAUCCACCGUUGCUAUUGUAAAGUAACUGCCCAGUACCAGACAGGAACCACUGACUUGUAUGGCUUUCAUUUGUAGAUGUGAAAGAGAAGGUGUCUUCAUCCUCAUUGGAGACUAUGCUGUACUUCAACACGCCUUGUGCAUCUUCCGGAAUGUUCUCAAAUCUAUUGUUCCUCAGUUUCCCACUUUUCCAACAAACUUUUCCUCGCCUCCUUAUCAUCAGUUCUUGUCCCCUCGGUUCCCAUUCAAGACUAAAGCCACCUCGAGUCGCUCUCGCAUAGAUCAACUGCGAAAAAAGUAACCAACGAUGGCCUGUUUUGUGAUUAACACCUAACUUCAUGGUGGGGAUCAAAGUGUCAGUGGGAUAAUCGAAACUCUGCCACAAGAGAGUUGUUGUCCCAUUGGAGUGAAGGUGAUGAAGAACAAAGUUGCCUGUGUCCAACAAAGUGGCCACAGUGUUGUUGAUAGGUUGAGGUGGAGAAUACAGAAUAAUUGAUUUUUUGACAGAUGCAUAUUCUAUUUUGAGCACGCCAGAUAGGUUUAAGGAUAGAACUGGAUCGCUCGCGACGACAGAUUGUUCUUUAUUAGCGUCCCAAACUAUAGCAUGUUCAUUUAGUAUUGCUAAGUAAGGAAAAAAAUCAACUCGACCUGCAAUAGUAAUAAAUUCCAGAAGAUAUUUGCGACUCUUAGAAUAUAGUGGUGAAGUGGAGUUGAGUGUAUCACCGGGGUUUAAACUGUCAUCUGCUGCAUCAACAUGAAUAGAAGAACUCAACCACAACCAGAGGUGCAUGAAAGCAAGCACAAGUUUCUGAAGAAUAAGCCUCAUAGGAUGCUUCAAAUGUGGAAAGACUAGUCUGCAAGAGAGUGAGAGUGUGAUACUGUGGUAAGUUCAAAUACCUUAUCUGUUAGAGCAUCGGAAAGCAAUAUCAAACCUAAAUAAUUGGCCAAGUGAUACUACAAUAAAAUUACUAAAUAAAAAGUGAUCAAAAUAAUUAGUUAUAAUAAAAUAAAGAUAUUUUAAAAAUUAAAAAUAAAUUAAUUUUUAAAUUAUUUUAUAUUAUUUUUAAAUAAUUUUUAAAUUAGUAUCUAGUUAACAACUAAAGUUUUAACUACUAAUUAUUUAGUUUCUAAAUUUGGUAGCAAAAACUUGAUUGGUAAUUAGAUACCAAUUUAGAAACAAUUUAAUAAUAAUAAAAACUAAUUUAAAAAAUUAAAUUUUUUUUUUUAAUUUUUAAAAUAAUCUUUAAUUUAAUUACUAUUACAACUCAUUAUUUUUGUUUUUACAAAUUAGUUUUUAUUUUAUUAUUUUUUUUUGUGUGAAAACAAAAAGAUCAUAAGACUUAAUUGAUUGUAACUGAUUUUUUUUUUCUGGAAAUACUACUACUAUUAUUAUCAUUAUUAUUAUUAUUUAAACAUUACAAAAAAAUUACAAAAAAUAAUUAAUUUAUAAAAAAAUAGUUAAUUAUUAUAUUUAUUAAAUUAGAUAUUAUUAAUAAAAUAUAGUUUUAAUAUAAAUAAUUAUUUUAAUUUUUAAAAUUUAUAAAACAAUUUUUAAAAUGUUAUCUAAUUAAUUAUGAGUAACUUAUAUUUUAAAUUUGGUGAUUAAUUAAAUAUUAGUUUAAAAAUAUUUAAUUAUCGUAAAAGUUAUUUUAAAUAUCAACUUUUAUAGUUUAUAAAAUAAUAUCUUUGUAAUAAUUAAUUAUUUUUUGUUUUAUUACAAUUAAUUUUUAUUUAAUAUUUUUUUUAGUAAUAUUUAUUUAUAAUAAUUAUAAUAAAAUAAAAAUUUAUAAAUUAUGUUUAUUUCAGCUAUGUAAGUCUAGAUAACACAGAACAAUUUAGAAUUUCUCAAAGUCGGUGUUCUAGAUGUGACCAACCUUUUCUGUUGGAAAGAAAAAGAAAAGAACUUUUAGUAAAAGAAAAGAAAAGUACCACUUAUCUUUACUAAAAUAAUUGAAAAACUAUGGAUAAUUGCUUACUCGGUGUUAGAUUGUACUUUUGAAGGUACAUGUUUUAUAAAAUAAAAGAAAGGUUCGUUUCUCUAUACAAGGUAAAAUUAUUUUAUAAAUAAAUUAAAAAUUAUAUUUUACAAAAUUAAUAAAAAUAAUUUUUACAAAUAUAUAAACUAUGUUUAAUUCAUAAAGGAAUUAAUUUUAAACAAAUUAAGAUGUUUGCAUAUGAUAUAUCAAUAUAAAGGGAAACACAUUAUCAAUGGCCGACAAAACUUUUUGCUUUUGAGUAAUCUCUUCUCUUCCAUGAUUGAACUUUCAAAUAUAUGAGAUAUCAUUUUAGCAUGGACAAGUUUAACACUUUUUUCUCACAAUAGGAAAAUAAUGAGGUCACAUUUAUUAGAGGUCCAUUAUAAUUUUAAAAGAAUUAGUAUACAAAAGGAACUUUAAAUUAGAAAGAGGCUUCAGUCUAUGUUUUCUUCUAUAUUGUGUUUAACUUUAUUAAUUUUAGUUUUUAUCUAUUUAACAUAAACUUUCUCACUGUUUUGUUUUUAAAUUAAACAAUUUUGAUUUCUUGUCAACAUGUAUAAUUUUAUUUUAUUUUUCAGCAAAGAAUUAAAUUAAAUAAAAGGGAAUACUUCAGGGGUAUCCCAACCCAUGUACAGAAGAAAGAAAGAAACCUAUCUAUAUCUAGAACAAAACCUCUUCCCUUCUUAAAAAAUAAUAAAACUUUCAACAAGGGACCAUAAACAGUUUGCACCAAGAACAGGUACCAUAACCUAGGUGACACAAGACAAGGCUUCAUUAGAGCUAAGCCACCACCAUCAACGAAACAAUUAAUUCUAUCAUUCCUCCAACACAUCACAAACCUUGCAUCCCCAUGGACUAUGUGUUGGAACACACAUCCAAAAAACCAAAUUGGCAGCAACAAAUAAUUAGCUGCAACACACAUCAAAUAGCAUUCUAGGAUUGAUACAAGCCUUGAUUUGGCCUUGGAAGUCAAUUGCUGUGAUUUGGCCUUGGAUAGCAUCUGCCAUAUCUACCAUCAGAACCACUGAUAGCAUCCUGCAUCCCUUCAUUUGGACUAAGCUGUCCCUGCAUAACGCUGUCAUGUAAUUAAAAAGGCAAACAGCACACUACUACAUCAUUUCCAUCUCCUUCCAAAUCUUCACCGUGGCACUUUAAGCACCUAACCCUUCCGAAUUGUUGUGCAAUCAUACCCAUAGCAAGAAAACUCACUCCACUAGAACCAGCAUCUAAACAGUAUUAUGGAAUGGCACUCAUCCUUGAGAUCAGAAUCUCUUAUGAAGUGGCAACCUCCAGUUGUGCUCAUCUUCUCCACCUUGUCUCCAACUUGGUCUCUAAAAUCCAGCAGCAUAUACUUCCUUAAUUGGUCCUAGAGAAUCAAUCUUGUAAAACCCUUCGUUGUCCUUUAGUCUUCUAUUGUUUUACCUUUCAAUCAUGACCGCCAACAAUGCUAACAAUGUAAGGUUCGUGUUCAUCUUUCACUCCACCUCUUCGAAAACCUCUCUAAGAAAACAACAAAUCUGCAGAAUUUGUUUCCUAUAUACCAGCAUACUUCAUGUAAUCCCACAGCAGAAUAACUCUUUCACCAUUGUCCCAUUUUGGCUAAAUGUUACGCAUUCUAAUUAUAAUCUCUUCUUUCUCAUCACUUACCUUUCAUCUUACCCUAUCCCCCUUUCUUAGAUAAAUUGUUACAGAUGGGUGCCUUCUUCCCAGUUGUUUAUCAAUGACUGACUCACCUUUUAACUUACUUGUUGGGUUCAGUUCUCUCGCUUUCGUUGUCUGCAAGAAUUUCUUACCAUUACAAUCUUCUUGCUCGUUAGGAAACACUUUUUUCUCCUCCCUGCAAAACAUCCAAGUAUAUUCAUCACAGCCUCACAACAGAAUAUUGAACCUCACCCUUCCAACUAUGCCAGCUUCUCCGUUCUCUGCUACUUAUUAUUGAACAUCUAUUCAUCCUGUUUACCUGCAUCACAAAACAACUACCUUCUACUCCACUUAAAAGACAUAAAAACAGAAUGUUCUAUAACCAUAGAUAUGCAAAUCAAACACAUUUCUUAGUACCAUCCAACCUAUCAUGCUUUAUGAAUAGAAUACGAAAUAGUUACACAGAUUGCAACAAGCUGAACUUAUUUUGUUACCAUCUUAAUAUAGGUUAGGGGUGAUAAAAUCCAUUCAAAAUAAGAGAAGUUCACUUUCCUUUCUUUAUAUUUCAUCCAAACCCAGGAUUGUACUUGUGCUAGAGUAAAGAUUUCCUCUGCAUCUACCUUACCUUGAUUAAAAAUAACCCUGUUUCUAUGCUUCCAUAUACACCACAUGACUGAAACCCACAUGUUUUUCCAUAAACUGUUGCCUUCUUGAUUUAAGCAUGAGCAUGAGAAUUGUUCGAAAUGACAAAUCAAAUCACUGUGGUUCACCGAACUAAUCUCCAACCAGCUGAGGCACAAAUUCCAAACUUUAAUUGAUUCCUCGCAUAAAAUUAAAUGUGCGUAGUUGUCUCCUCCUCCUUCCCACAUAAAACGCAUAAAGUAUCCUCCAUUACAACACCCCUUCUCUGCAGGUUCUGUUUAGUCGCAAUUCUAUUCGACAAAGCCCUCCACACGUAAAACAGGGUUGAGGGCAUAACCUUUAAACCCCAAAGAUGUUCAAACACCUCCGACCCCCUCCCAAUUGUGUGAUUUGCUAUCUUAUUAUAAGCUGAUUUUACCGAAAAAGAGUAUGAUGGAGGGUCAUUCCAAAACCUUUUGUCCUCAGUGUCUUGGUGUAAUGACACCUGUGAUAUUAUUGUCAUAAAAUCCUCUACCAUUAUUUUUUCCCACUCAAACCACUCUCUUCUCCAUCUAAAUUCCCACACCCAUCCUUCUGUAGACCAUCUUCCACAUCUAUUUAUGGUCUUAUCCUUCAAUUCUGAGUUAUUAUAUAAUCUUUCAAAUCUCUCUUUGAGUUGACCAGUAUCUAACCAUUCAUCUUUCCAAAAUUUGAUUUUUUCCCCUGAUCCCACUUUCCAGACUAAGUUCGCAUUGAACCAAUUAUUGCCUUGAUCUGAAGUUCUAACUUUUAUUAUAUCCUUCCACCAUCUAGAUGAGUUUGCUAGCCUCCUCGAAUCAUACUUCGAGUCUAGAACUUCCUUCCAAAGUCCUGUCUCUGGUGAUUCUAAUCUCCAUAACCAUUUAGCUAGCAAUGCCUUGUUGAACUCAUCGAUUCUCCUGAUUCCUAGUCCACCUUCCUUUUUCACUUUACAGAUGUUCUCCCAACUAAUCCAAGCGAUUUUACUCCCCUCUGCUCCCCACCCCGCACAAAAACUUUCUUUGUAGUUUUGUGAUCUCCUUGCACACUCCUACCGGGGCUUUAAAAAAUGAUAGAAAGAAAAGUGGUAUGGCGUUGAUGACAAAUUUUAUUAGGCAAACUCUUCCCGCGAAGGACAAGUUCCUCCCCUUCCAUACUGAAAGUUUCUUUCUAAUCUUUGAUAGGACAGGUUCCCAGAAGGAACACCUAGAUGGAUUACCACCUAUGGUUAGUCCUAGGUAUGUAAAGGGUAUAUCCAUAAGGCUACAAUGCAUUAUUUCCGAGUAUAGCUUCACCUCAUUUCUAUCUACUCAAAUUGCUCCAAUUUUGCUCUUAUGGAAAUUAACUUUGAGGCCCGAGCUUAGUUCAAAACAUCUUAAAAUGGCCUUUAUGCACAUAAUAUUCUGUACUUUCGAUUCACAUACAAAAAGAGUGUCGUCAGCAAAUUGGAGUAGAUUAAUUUCCACCUCCUUUCCCCCCACUUUUAUUCCGGAUAACAAUUUUUUUCUCGUAGCUUGUUUCACUAAUCCCGCCAGACCUUGUGCUACAAUCAAGAACAAGAACGGUGCCAUAGGGUCCCCUUGUCUAAGGCCUCUAGAGGGUUUAAAUUCUUUUGACGGGCUACCAUUUACCAAAACCGAGACUGUAGCUGAUUCAAGGCAUUCUCUAAUCCAUUGUAUCCAUCUUUUGCAAAACCCAAGUCUUUCCAUCAUAUAAAACAAGAACUCCUAACUCACCGAGUCGUACGCCUUUUCGAAAUCAAGUUUCACAAUGACCCCACUUUUUCUCCUUCUUUUCAAAUCAUCCAACACCUCAUUCACUACUAGAACGUUGUCUAAUAAUCCUCUAUUCGAUAAAAACGCCGAUUGUGAUCCAUCUAUCACCUUCUCUAUAACUUUUUUAACCCUGUUAGAUAACACUUUAGUCAGGAUUUUAUACAAACAGCCUACUAGUGAUAUGGGUCUAUAUUCUUCAAGAGAUUGGGGAUUUUCAGACUUUGGGAUCAGCGUUAGGAAGGAAGAAUUACAACCCUUCGGAAUUUUCCCUUCUCUGUGGAAACAAUUAAGAGCUCCCAUCACCUCCUUAUUUUAAAGACCCCAGUACUUUUUAAUGAAACUGAAAGUUACGCCGUCUGGACCAGGGCUUUUCUGACUAUCACAGUUCCAAAUUGCUUCCUUAAUUUCCUUUUCGUCAAAAGGAUCAGUUAAGAGUCUAUUGUCGGAUUCUGUUAUCUCCUCAAAAUCUACGUUAUCCAACCUCACGCCAAUGUCCUCAAUGGCCGACAUCUUUUUCUUGUAGAAUUCUUUCACCAUCUCCUUUACUGUAUUUGGCUCCUCCACCCAAUUACCUGAGUUAUGGCAAUGUAAACCUUUUUAUCUCGUUCCUUAAUCUCCUCCACUUAAUUGACACAUGGAAGUAUUUCGAGUUAGUGUCCCCCUGCUUGAUCCAAAGGUCUCUUGACUUUUGUUGUAAUAAAGAUUCAUUCCUCACAUUUAUAUCUUGUAAUUGGCUUAAGAGUUCUCUUCUUUCCCUAAUCUUUUCAUCAUUCAAUUCCUCUAUGUCAUCCUUCGUAUCCAACUCUUGUAUUUUCCUUAGAGUAUCAAGUUUUAACUUAUCAGUGUACCCAAAGACUUCUUUGUUCCAUCCUUUCAAGUCGCUCUUUAGCAUUUUCAAUUUCUCUUUUAUCAGUGUACCCAACAACUUCUUUGUUCCCUCCCAUUUUCUUUUGACAAAUAUUUCAAACUCCUUAUGGUCUUGCCAAAUAUAUAGGAACCUGAAUGGUUUUGGUCCCCAGUCAACCACAUUUGAUUUAAGCAGCAAUGCACAAUGGUUAGAAAUUUGUCUAUCCAAGACAUAUUGCUUACACCCUGGCCAAUGUUGCAGCCAUUCAAACGUAGUUAAAAUUCUGUCAAGCCUGCUCUUAGCUUUGCCAUUAGGUCUAUACUAAGUAAAUUUUCUUCCUAUGCAAGGUAUGUCCACCAUUUCCAGUUCAUCAAUAAAAUUAUUAAAACCUUGCAUUUCUCUCUUGUUACCACUCACUCGAUUUAUCCCUUUGCGUUCCCCUUCACUUCUUACAGAAUUGAAAUCCCCCAACAUGCACCAUAUUUUGCAAGGUUCAUUAUUUCUAAUCUGUUUUAAAUCUUCCCACAUAUGUAUUUUGUCUGGCAUAUUACACGAAGAAUACACAUUUACUAUGACUACAGGAAUAUUAUUCUCCUUAAAAAACCCGAAAAAAAUAUUGAACCGACUACUAAUUAUGCGGUUUGAACAAGUAAAGAACUUUUUGUGCCACAUCGUGAGAAUACCCCCUGCCCCAUUAGAUGGUUCGCUAUAGAUAUAGUCAAUUUCACUGUCUCCCCACAACUGACAACAUUUGUUGAAACUGAAAUUUACUGUUCUUACUUCUUGCAAACAUACCAUUCUGACACUUUCCUUUCUAAUGACAUCCUUAAUAUACCUCCACUUCACAGGGCUCCUGAACCCUCUUACGUUUAUUGAUAAAAUUUUCAUUUAUAACCCAUGUUUUCCCCUGCUUCUCUUUGUAAUUUUUGAUUCCUAUCCCUUUUUUCCAAAACUUCUAAGUUUAACAUAACGUUCCCUUCAACCCCACCCGUUGCUCCUAUUUGUUUACCCAAUUCCCAUAAUCUAAUCGUUUCUAAUGAACCGUGUUUUAGCCAAAAUAAGCGAUUGCAAUUAUUAAUAGCUAUGUCAGAAACUGAAUUGCUAAUUUGAGAUAAGACUGACCUUAAUUGCUUGCGUUCUACCCACUUGCUGUUUUUGCUUGAUUCUCCCACCCAGAAGACUCUUUUUUCCGUAGCAUCCACCUGCUUUAAGGGGUUUAGACCGUUGACUUGCGUUGUUUGGUUAAUCUUUCCUUCUGCCAAUUGUUGAAUCCCAUUCUUACUUUGCUCUUCGCAUCCUGUCUUCCUCUGCCCCAUGAACGGUAAGUAUGCAUCUCUUAUUCUAUCCGAUCUCAAAGCACUCCGAUUUUGGCUCCUAAAAUCGUUUUUUUCCGCCUCAACAGAACCUAUCUGUAGAUGUUUUUCGCCGUUCUCCCCCGCUGGUGCCGAAAGAAUAGAGUCUUCCACCCUCAGGAUUGAAAGAAUUGGGUCCUCCUCUCCCCCCUUCGUAGCACCCGACAAAGACGAUGCUUGAUGGGACAAAGGUCCUCCCUCUUUCUCUACCAUUUUCGGUAAACACGAUGAUAUACUCUUUCUUACCUUCGACACCGCAGUGGAAUUGGUUGAUGCCGUAAUGAAGUUCUCCUUACGAGGCUUCUCAAUGUGAGCGGUGACCUCUUUGUGCCAUGGGUACCCAGCUUGUUCAGAUUCGCCUAAAGAUUGUGAAAUUUCAGUGUCAAUCUCCCUCCCGCUAGAUCCCUUCCAUAACUUCUCUUCAUCCAUGCUUACCUUUGGGUCGUUUUUAUUAAAAAACACAUUGUGGUUACAAUCUCCACACCCCCCUUCUUUUGCCCGGUGAAUAAUUUGGUCCAUGUUGCUUUGGGCCAUCUUCGAAGGCCCAAUCCCCAUUGCCACGUCAGCCCUGUUUAGGACCGUUGGAAAAUCAAACCCUAGUUUUUCCUUUCCCCUGAAAUUGCCGCAAAUGGGUGCCGAAGUAGCUCCAUCGGAAUUUGCCAAAAAAGGCUUGAAACCUUGUAACUGUUCUAUUGGUUCAGAUUUCCGAUGAAGCUGUGCCGGCAUGGACUGAGCGUGACCCAUUUCCACCGUUGGUUCUUCGAAAUCGCAAUUCCCCGAUUGUCCUGAUGCAAGAGACGCUAAAGACUCCUCCUCUAUUUCGAUUCCCUCUGAUGUUUCAUCCCACUAACAUUGGCAAAGUUUGUGUUCUGGGACAGAGCAUUCUUCCUCCACCGAUAUCUGAUACAAAUUUUCAUUGAUUCUCAUGUAGUUGGUUAACUUUGCCUCACAUUCCACUGUUACUCUAAUUUUGAAUCUUGCAUACUCAAGUUCUUCCAGUGCCAGCGUUGCGUUAUCAACCUCCACAAGAGUUCCCAUUAAUGCUGCUAUGUGUUUGAAGCAGUCAGUAUUCCAUAAUUUCAACGGUAGCCCCCUACAUCUCACCCACACCAAUUUGUCCACCGCUACAAAUUGUUCUUCCCAUGGAAUGAUGGUGUCAAACAUUUCUUCAAACCAUACUUUAUUUUCUUCUAUCGCUUCAAGGAUCUUUGUUUCGUUUUCCCCCAUCAAUAGCACAUGGAACCCUCCCAAAAAUUUAACCUUUAUAUGACUGAGACCUUCCAAAAUAAAACAUUCAUUCAAACAUGAUACUUUGCUUAAAUCCGAGACUCUUCCAAUGUAGCACUUUUUUAGCCAAUCCCUUGGAGUUUCUUCUGCUCUAAAAUGAAUAGCCUGCACCCUUGACCUAUUCUGAGUUUGUUCACUAAUACUUUUACCAGUCUUAACAAUGUUUGCAUAUGUUUCUUUCUCUUUGGCCCUCCAUUCUUUUUUUGGUUCACUCUUUAUUUCUGAAACCUUCUCUUUCAACUUCAUAUUCCAUUCCUUUCUUGUUUCUGCUGGUCUAUUGUAUUUCGGCCUGUUAGCCUUCAGUUUCCAGCUUCCAAUCCAAAUUGUGUUCAGAUGAUUCUUUAGUUCCCUGACAUUCUGUACUCCCUGAAAUCUCACAAAACCAAACAUUUGCUUCUUAAUGUUCAACCUUCUUGAUAUGAAAAUAUCACUUACCCUUCCCCAUCUGCGGAAAAUCCUCCACAAAUCUGAUUCUUUGAUGUCGAAGGGAAAGUUGGAGAAGAAGAACGGAGUCCCUCCCGAAGUGUAGUCUGAGCUCAUGGAGGCAAAAGUCUGAUUUUGAUAUUAUUGAUCUUUUGUCAACAUGUAUAAUGCCACUCAACAUUAUUUCUAAGGUUAAUUAUGUGCGUUUAGUUAUGAAAGCCAUGUGGAGGGUAGGGUUUCAUAGCUGUUUUUGGGAAGCAUAUCAAAUCUAAUGUGGAUUGUGCGUUCGUAAAUGUGUAUGUUACGUGCAAUAUGAAAGAUAAAUUGGCUUUAUGGGAGAACCUCUCUUCUUUAAAAGCUACAACUCGGGAUCGAGCGUGUUGUCUCAUUAGUAAUUUUAAUGCGAUUAGAAAUCCUUUUGAGAGGAGAGUUAUUAUAGAAUGUGGCAGCCAAAAGUGUGAGAUCUUUGGUUUCAACGACUUCAUUGAAAGGAAUUUUUUGAUGCAAUUGCCUGUUGCGGGUAAGAAGUUUACGUGGUAUAAGGCAAAUGGGUAAGCUAAAAGAAGGAUUUACAAAGUUCUUGUUUCGGAUGAGUGGCUACAAAAGUGGCCUAUGGACAAACAAUAUAUCUUACCGAGGGAGGUCUCGGAUCAUUGUGCAAUUGUGGUUAAAUCAGUGGUGAGAGACUGGGGGUCGAAGCCUUUCAGGUCUUUAGAUGUGUGGUUGAAGGAGCCUGGGUUCAAGGAUAUGGUGAAGGAAAAAUAGAACUCUUGUCCUGGUCAAGGAAAUAGUAUGUUUGUGUUCAAAGUUAAAAUGAAGUGUCUGAAAGCAGAUCUUAAGAGGUGGAAUAGAGACUUGAUCGGGCACCUGGAAUCAGGAACAAUAUGGUUUUAAAGGAGAUUGAGGGGCUAGAUGGCCAAGAUGAAGAUGAUGCCCUACCUGAGAGUUUGAGGAUGAGGAGAGUAGCCCUCUUUAGUCAUGUAGAAGAGAUUAAUAAAAAACUUGAGUCUCUUUUCAGGCAGAAAGCUAGAAAUAAUUGGCUUGCGUUUGGGGAUUCUAACUCCAAGUUUUAUUAUUCUGUAAUCAGAUGGAGGAAGCUUAGGAAUGAGGUUAAGGGUGUUGAUAUGGGAGGUGUGUGGUGUGCGGAGCCUGAGGUUGUUCGUAGGGAGGCACUGAAGCUUUAUGAAGCUAGAUUUUCUGCUUCUCAAGAUUUUGGAGUCAGACUUGAUAACGUUGAGUUCAAGACCUUGUUUGUGGAGGUCAGUCUAAGUAUGGUAUCCAAAUUCUCUGAGGAAGAAGUUAAAAGUGCUAUUUGUUUGUGUGAGGGGUCAAAAAGCCCUGGUCCAGAUGACUUCAAUUCUAACUUUAUUAAGGGUAGAUGGGAAGUGUUGAAGCAUGAUAUUGUAGUUGUUGUUCACCUCUUUCAAGAGACGGGGGUGCAUCCCAAAAGGGUGUAAUGUGUCCUUCAUUACUUUUGUUCCUAAAGUGCAGGACCCUAUAAGUUUAGACCAAUACAGGUCAAUUUCUCUUAUGGGCUCGUUGUAUAAAAUUAUCACGAAGGUUUUAUCUUGUCGUAUCAAAAAAGUGUUACCUGAGGUUAUAGAUGAUUGCCAAACGACUUUUUUAAAGGACAGAGGGAUGCUAGAUAGCUGGGACGUGCUGAAGCAUGAUAUUGUAGUUGUUGUUCACCUCUUUCAGGAGACGGGGUGCAUCUCAAAAGGGUGUAAUGCGUCCUUCAUUACUCUUGUUCCUAAAAUGAAGGACCUUAUAAGUCUAGACCAAUACAGACCGGUUUUAUCGAUCGUAUUAAGAAAGUGUUACCUUUAACCACUACACCAAACAAAUUCUUUUGUCCUAUUAUGAAUUUUAUUAUAGUUAUUAUUAUUAUUAUUUUUAAUAUUGAUAUUAAUAUUAAUAUGAAUAUUAUCAUUAAUAUUAAUAUUGUUAUUAUUAAUAUUAAUAUUAAUAAAAAUAUUAAUAAUUUUAAUUUUAAUAUGAUUUAGAUGGAGACAAUCAAUAUGAAAUAUUAUUAUUGAUACUACUAUUUAUAUUUAUUUAUUUAUUUUUUAAUUUUUUAUAAUUUUAAUAUUAUAAUUUUAUUUAAUUAAAAAUCCGUAUGUAACGCUCACUUUACAUACGAAUCCAAAUCCGUAUGUAAAAUCUGUAUGUAAUGCUCACUUUACAUACGGAUGUAGAUUCGUAUGUAAAUAUCAAAUUUCUUGCAGUGUAUACCUAGGGUUAGAAGUUGGUGGUAACCCUAGAAGGAAAACGUUUUAAGAACCUAUUGUGAGUAACGUUAGUGUUAAGCUAAGUGUCUGGAAGGGGAUAAUCUUGUCGUUGACGGGUAGAAUCUGCUUGAUCAAGUGGGUUUUCACGUCCAUACCCCUGUUUUAUUUCUCCUUCUAUAAAGUUCCAAAAUUAGUGUGUGAUAAAAUUAUUAGCAUUCAGAGAAGCUUUUUGUGGGGAUAGGAAAGGAUAAAAUAUCUAUUGCGUGGGUGAGUUGGGACAAUCAUUGUAAACCUCGGGAGGAGUGAGGGAUUGGAAUUAAAGAUGUCAGAAUUUUCAAUGUGGCUCUCUUAGUAAAGUGGUAGUGGAGGCUCUUAAGUGAAGAAAAAGGAAGGUGGAAGGAUAUUUUUCUAUCUAAAUAUGACUCGCAAAUUGCCCAAAGUCAGUUAAAUGUGAAAUAUCACUCGUAUUGGUGGUGUGACUUAUCUAAAAGUAGUAGAGAGGGACAAGAUGGAGGUUGGUUUAAAGAAGUUGUACGGUGGAGAGUGGGUAGCGGGGACAAGGUCAGGUUCUGGGACGAUGCUUGGGCUGGUUGUACUCCUCUCAUCAAUACGUAUCGUAGGUUGUAUUUUGUGUCUAUGGAUAAGGGAAUGAUGGUGGCAGAUGUAGGGGAGUGGGAAGACUCUGUGUGGCACUGGGGGCUUAAGUGGAGAAGGGAUAGUUUCCAAUGGGAGACUACACAAGAAGAAGGGCUUCUAAGGCUCCUAGAAAGAGUCAAACUGCUUAAGGAGGUGAAGGAUAGGCAAGUAUGGGAUGGUGACGAAUCUGGAGAUUUUUCAGUAAAAAAAGCUUAUGCUCGUCUUGCAAAUCAUGGAAUUGGGCUUCAUCAGAAUGUAUUCAGGCUUUUUUUGUAUGUUUAAAGUUUUCCCAAAUAUCUUGACAACGACAUGGAGGGUAAUGGUGGAUCGUAUCCCAACAAGAGUUAAUCUCUCUAAGAGAGGGGUGGAGAUGUCUCACAUGAGUGUGUUAUGUGCCUAAUUGUAAACGAACCUUCACAACAUCUCUUCUUAAAGUGUAAGAUAGCUCAAGGGGUGUGUGGUCGUUGCUUUAGAUGGAUUGAUGUAUUGUUUGUCCAACAUGAUGACUUGAAGAAUCAUUUCGAGCAAUUCUGCUUACCACAAGGCUCAUUUUCUCAAAAUUUGGUGUGGAAAAGAAUGUGAAUGGUUGUGGUGUGGAGUAUCUAAACAAAGGAACCUUAUUAUCUUCAAGGAGGGAGUUGCAGAUGAGGAAGAAAUCUUCCAAAUGACGCAACUGAAGUGCUGGCUUUGGUUGAAAAGUAGAAUGCAUUCCUUUAUUUUUAUUUUUUCCUUUUCGGAAUGGUUGUUGAAUCCUAUUUUGUGUAUUAAGAACUAGAUGUGAAGUGUGUUUCUGAAAUCCUAGUGUUGUUAUGGAAGGGUGAGGUGUAUAAGUGGAUGAGAAGGAGUAGAUUUGUGGUAGGAGAGUUGUCUGAUGCAGGGAUUAUGUUGUCACCCACAAAAUGCCUAUGCUCUGUUGGUUCUGUUAUACCAGUCUAUGCAACUUUGUAGCAUAAUGCCACCACUCCCUGCUGGUUUUAUGUUGAUGUGCGCUAGCAGGGAUGAAGAUUAGUAGAGUUGUUGCCUCUGUGUUUUCAGUGUAGGUGAAGUUUUAAGGAGCUGUAGAAUUAGACAGCAGCUACAGAAAAUCAAUAGACAAAUUGUUCUUAGGUGGAGGAGAAAGAUGAAGAAGAGUGAGCUCUUAGUUAGGUGGAGGAUUCCUUGGGAAUGUAGAUAAGUGGAAGGGACCUUGGAAAACAGAUUAGGAGGAGGAAGCUGUAGAUACAGGGGAGGUUUUGUUUAUAUCAAAAGUUGCAGUUUUAUCUGUGAAGUUUCCUACAUAUUUGUGCAGUUCUAGUGCGUAGGAAAUUGCAACACACUUAGGCUUUUUCUGAAGCAUAAUUUUGUAGUAAGUUACCUUUCAUAAGGUUCAACAAGCAUUACAUAUAUCUUUUUCGGACAUUAUUGUCGGUCAGGCUGACGCAUGACUCAAAUUAUGCAUCAAUCAAGCUGACGCAAUAUUAUUAUUAUUUUCUUUUUUUUCACUUCCUCUUUUCGCAUCCCACAUGCGUCUGAAGGUCCACGAGAAAACGAUUUUGCAUUCACAUUGUGGGUUUGGUCGACACAAAUGACGUCCACGCUUGGUCGACGCAAAUAUAUGACAACUAAUGACGCAUUUUUUUGUAGUGAUAGGAUGUUUUCUUACUUAUCAUUUAUUGUUAAUUUGUCCUUUAAUGUGGUUGAUUGUCUGGUCGACCGGUAAAUGAUGUCGAGUGACGUGGUCAAUUUGACCUCAACUGGUACAUUUACAAUUUUGUUAAAAAAUUGAAAAUAAGGGUUAUUUUAAUAUAGAAACAACAUUUUUAUAAAGGUUAAAUUAAAGUGAUNNNNNNNNNNNNNNNNNNNNNNNNNNNNNNNNNNNNNNNNNNNNNNNNNNNNNNNNNNNNNNNNNNNNNNNNNNNNNNNNNNNNNNNNNNNNNNNNNNNNUUGGUGAUGGACACUACCACGUUAGUAUACUCCAACGUCUCAAACUCAAUGAGUUGGACAACUUGCUUUGCAUAUCUUGUGAACAAUUCAUCCAUGUUAUCUUGCCCAAACUCAACUGACAAAACAGGUUCAAAAACAGCUCUAAUGGACUUAACUAUGAACUCUCCUUUCAUUUUGCUAUCAAGGUUAGAAUCACCAACAUCCUCAUGAAGAUUUGCGUCCCAACCUAUCUUGAAAGUCCUCAAUGCUUGAAUGGUAAAAGACCCUUCUGCUUCAAUCACUUGUCUAACUUCUUCAGCAGUGGGACCAUAUAUAGGUAGAUCAAAGCAGUCUAACUUUUUCUCAUCAAGUAGAACCUACAAUCAUAAAGAAACCUUAUUUCCUAUUGCUAGCUUUCUAGUAGCAAGCACGAAAAAUCCACCACAGGGUUAACAUCCAAUACAACACAAUAUACAAAAUCAAUGAUAAAAUAAUAAAAUGCGACCUAGUUAUAAAACAACAUAUAAAUUAUUAUAAAAUUUAGUGUAAAUUAUAGUUUUAAAUCAAAUUGAGGAAUCACAAUUUAUUACAAAGUAGAUUUUAAGCCUAACUCAACUCCAUAAAACCGACUCAUGAGGUGAGGUUUGCAUCUACUUAUAUACAAUGACCUAAUCUCUAGUCGAUGUGGGAUCUCGUGUGUGGGAUAACAUAUUAUGGGUGAUCCGAUAACGGUCCGAUAGCGGGUGACACGAUAGACCUAACAAACACUCGCUAGGAUAAACUUUAAAUGGUUCUGAUACCAUUUUAUAAAGUGAACUUUAAACCUAACUCAAUCCCAUAAAACCAGCUCAUGAGGUGAGGUUUGCACCCACUUAUAUACAAUGAAAUGUCUUAAUCUCUAGUCGAUUGGAUCUCCAUCACAGUUUUCAAAGUGAACACUAGUCCCUUUUCGUUGUGGAUUUGUAAUGUGCGAUAUGAAAAUAAAAGGAAAAUAGUUAUAAAGCGCAGUUAGUGGUUUGUGAUAUUAUGUCUGAUACACAUACACAAUAAUGCAACAACUAUUUUGAUGUGUUGGUGCAGUGUUGGCCAAUCAUCUAUAAACCUAAUCGCUUACCUCUUGGACCAUAUCAUUGAGUACCAUUCCGAUUACCUCUGCAGGAUUACCAAUUUUAUGGGUUUCUCUACCAAUGAACGUGAGUAACAUGCUACCACCCGACCUUAGUUCCUCCGAGCGUGAUUUAAGAAAAAGUUUGAAAUCCUUUUCAAAUUGCUUUAAGUAUGCUUCAUAGACUGAAGCAGGGUUGGCACUUUUUAUGUAAACGUUUCCCUUGUUGAGUGGUUCAGCUAUGUUGGUCGAAGUUGGUGCCUGAUACCAUACAAAUUGAGACCAAAGAGUUAACUUGGGAAUUGUAAAGCCAAAUAUAAAAUGUAGCAAUCUAUGACUUUAAAUGCUUGAGCCAGCACUUUUCUUUGCAAGUAAUUUGUAUCCAUAACAUAAUGGUAGGAAAAGCUUGGUUAAUUUGGUGGAAUUGACCUGAGAUAGCCAAUGCAGACUGUAGGAGGAAUGAAAGAAGUGGAUGUAAUCAUCAGGAAAAAGCUUUCCAUAGAAGUUUCCGGGUGUUGCAUGAAUAAAGAAUCUUCCAUGAUUCUGGUUUUUCUCUGUGUAUUCUUUCUAAGAAGUCAAGGAUCAACUUGAAGAAGCUGUUGAAGUCAUUUCCAAAUAGAUCAUCCAUGUAAAUUUGCAAUACACGAGGUGUACAUUGGAGGGACUGGGAUGGAUCAAGUCACGCUUCAGCGUUUUGUAGCGAUUCUUAAUUGUGAUACGAUGGCUUCUCUGUUCAUAUACUUGGGAAUGCCAGUUGGUGGGAGUCAUAAGUGCGGUGCUUUUUGGAAUGGGGUGAUUGAGAAAGUUUAGGCCAGAUUAAGUAGGUGGAAGGGAAGAUGUUUGUCGAUGGCUGGAAGGAUAUGCCUGAUCCGGUCUGUACUUUCGUCUAUUCCGUUAUUCUUUAUGUCGCUUUUCAAAUUGCCUUCUGGGGUGGCUGAGAAGUUGGUUAAGAUACAAAGAAAUUUUCUCUGGGGUUGGGGUGCAGAUGGAAGGAAGAUCGCUUGGGCUUCAUGGAACUUGGCUUGUAAGCCUCGUGAGUUCGGGGGGUUAGGUAUUAUAGAUCCAAAGUUGUUCAACUUGACUUUGUUGGGAAAGUGGAUUUGGAGGUUGGGUUCGGACGAGGGAGGCCUUUGGAAGGAAGUUCUCAUUUCUAAAUAUGGUGGGUGGAGAUUUAUGGGAGAGGGAGGUAAAGGCAGGAGUUGUUCUCUUUGGAGGAAGGAUUUGAAAGAGGUUUGGUCUUCAGAGAGCUGGGGGAGAAGUUUCGAAGACAGUUUUGAGUGGAAAGUAGGCGACGAAAAGGAUAUUUAUUUCUGGAAGGAUAGGUGGCUGAAGGGCGAGGCACUGAAGAACGUUUUUCCAAGACUAUUUUCGAUUAGCUCUAACAAAAACGCAAAUUUGUUGGAGUGUGGUUUUUGGUCUAAUGGAAGAUGGGUUUGGCAACUAGCUUGGAGAAGAUUUUUCUUCGAAUGGGAGAACCCGAUGGCGGAUCAGAUGAGCCAACUGCUGCUUGGGGCUGGGGCUGCCCCAAGAGAGGUUGAUAGUUGGAUUUGGAAGGAGGGGGGUCUCCAAACUUUUACAGUUAGUUUUGCUUACAACCUUGUCAGGAAGGACAAUGAGGUGGAUGCUUCGCCGAUUUUUAGCAAGUUAUGGAGGAGCAAGGCAGUUCCUUCUGCUUUGCUUUUGGCUUGGAGGGUGUUGGAAAACGAGCUUGCUACUAGGAUAAAUCUUAGAAGAAGAGAGGUGCAGUUAGAAAGUUUGAGGUGCGUUUUGUGUGGGAAGGAGGAAGAGUCCUGUAGUCAUUUAUUCUUCGGGUGCAGUUUUGCGUGGCGAGUUUGGAGUUUAUGUUACAGGUGGAUUGGGGUCUUGUUUGUGUCUCAUAUAGAGCUGAGGUUUAACUUCGAUCAAUUUAGGUUGAAUAUACCUUCUGAGUCGGUUCGUACUAUAUGGGACACAAUCUGGGUUGGGGUGGUUAGUGAAAUCUGGAGUCACAGGAAUCGCAUAAUUUUCAAAGGAGGAGUGGUUGAAGCGUUUGAAGUUUUUGCAUUGGUACAAGUUAAAGUUUGGUACUGGGUCACUACAAAGUCUCGGGGCGUUGCUUUCUCCUUUUCUGACUGGUGUCUAGAACCAUUGGUGUGUAUGAGGUUAGUUUCCUGAAGUUUGUUUGUAGGAUUAGUAAGGGCGAGGCUUUGUUUAGUUAGUUUUGGUGGUCUUUCGCGGGUUUGGUGUUGAGUUUUAUGUGUAUAAGGGUUGAACCACCCCUGAAGUAGUUCCAUUUUAUUUAUUUAUUUUGCCGAUCAAAAAACUCUGGUUUAAGCUCAAGCUAGCCUUAUCCAUUAGGGUUACCAUAGUUGACACAAAUAAGAGUGAAUUUGGCUCCAUUAGGGUUACCAUAGUUGACACAAAUAAGAGUGAAUUUGGACCCGAAGAGCAUCCCAAAUCAGCUACUUUCAAACAGCUUUCUGAAGUUAUGUUUGACAUCAACAGUUUUACAUUAUCUUCAAGUAUAGGUUUCACUAUGCUUCCCACUUCUCUCUACACCAAAUUUAAUUUGGGUCACCAUCUAAUAAUAUAUAUAUAUAUAUAUAUCAUUGUCAUAAACUCUUUUCUUUUUAGCAUAUUUGCAAGUACAAAAAAGAAAACCCUCUUUGUAUUUUAUAUGCGUUUUGUUUUAAUAAAAAUAUAUAAACUAUUUUAAUUAAUAAACUAAUUGUUUUAAAAAAAACUAUUACACAUUUGCACAUGAUAUCAAUAUGAAACACACUAACAAUGGCCGGCGACAAAACUUUUUGUGUUAUGGGACCUAUAUCUUUCAUUUUCUUUUGGUUUUUAGUAGUCACUUGUCUUUUAUGAUUGAACUUUCAAAGAUAUGGGAUAUUAUUUUAGUAGGGGCAAGUUUAACACUUUUUUUUCUCACAAUAGCAAAACUUAGUUCAUAUUUAUUAGAGGCCCAUUAUAAUUUUAAAAAAGUUAUACACAACUAACUCGAAAUUUUAGAAGAGGCUUGAAUCUAUGUUUUUUCUAUAAUUGUGUAUUAUUUUAUUAAUUUUACUUUUCAUCUAUCCAACUAUAAAUUUUCCCACGCUUUUGUUUUUAAAUUAAACAAUUUUAAUUGACUCUCAACAAUUUUAAAUCCCAUUCAAUAUUAUUUUCAAGGUUAAUUAAAGUUUUAUAAGCCGAAGACGUGUUAACCACAAUGGUAAUUGUCCUAGCCACGGUGCUAUCAGAGAAGGUCGUUCUCAACUCGAUGUACCCUCAUACCUUCACCUGAUCUCUCGCGAAGCGUUAAAAUAUGUUGCAUUACAACUUUAAUUUAAAAAAUUAAAAAUUGUUACAUACGGAUUCGUAUGUAACUCUGUUUUACAUACGGAUAUUUGGUCUUACAUACGGAUUUUGGUUGUAUGUAAUUGGAGAUUUUCUUGUAGUGAUAUCCUUCAACAACUGAAGCAAUUUCAUUAAGUUUUUAUCAAUCCAUCCAUUUAUUGCCUUCUAAUUCAUUAAUCUUAACACCGUCGACAACUGUGUGAAGUUAGUUGAUCCAGGAUACAAUGGAGUCUCUGCAUCGCUUGACAUAAUUCCAUAUCCAUGCGCUUCUACAAAAGACUCAGUUUCCACAUCACGAAUCAUGUCCUACAAUCGAUCAUCAUGUACAUUAUCAUGUAUUGCAUCAUCCAUGGUGGAUCCCACAUAUUCUUCAGUUACAAAAACAUGUGGUAAAUUUAAUAAUUCACCAUGUCAUGUCCAAGUUGUAUAAGAUCGAAGAAACUCAUCCCAUAGAAUGUGUUCCCUAAUUAUCUUCAAUUCAAAUAGUUAACACACGGACACUUGUUCUUUGCUCCAUCAUGACCAUUAUUAUUCAUGUGACGUUAUGCAAAAAGUAUAAAUUCUUUUACUUCUCUUUUGUACUCAUCACUUAUGCGAACAAAAUUAAUCCAAUUUCGAUCAAUUAUAUCCUGUAAUAGUCAUUCAGCUGUUUAAUAAUGAGUGUUCUAUCUCACACAUUUGCUGAGGGUCAAACACCCUCGGACUCAAUACCAACACGAUAAUUCUAUUCUAAACUAACAACUAACAUAAUAUAAAUUAAUAAUAAAUACAAAUUAUACUAAAUACAAAAUAUUAUAAAUUUUAAAAAAUAAAAAUUAUAAUAAAGAAAAAAUAAACAAAUUCAUAACAUUAAAAAAAUUCAAACAAAUUUAAAACACCACCAACCUUGUGCGUGAAGGCAACGUUGGUGAAGAGUGGCAAGAGACUGGCGACAGCAGACGCGACAACGGACGUGGCAGCAGCGCCGGAACAAAGCAAAAACUCACACAAGUAGCUACGAAGGCAAUGAAACAGUACUUCGAGAAAUGCAAGAAAACAAACAAAGUAAGAGAAACAAUUUUUUUUUAUAAAUCAUUGGAGAAGAAGAAAGAGAGCUCCAACGAACUUACAAUGGCACGACAACACAAUGAAGCUCGCAAAAGAAAAGCGAAACACCAGAGUAGAAAUAGAGAGCAAACACGAAGCGCAAAGAAGGGAAAGAAAGUAUGAAAGUGUAAGUGGCGCGCUUCACAGUUAGGGUAAAAAAUAAUUUAAGAAUGCGACUAUUAAAUAGCCGUAUUCUUAAAUCAUGCGCUUUGAUAUAAGAAUGCGGCUAUAGGUAAAGCCGCAUUCUUAAAUCAAACGCUUGAAUUUAAGAAUGCGACUAUUACGAAUAGCCGAAUUCUUAAAUCAAAGAGUAUGAUUUAAGAAUGUUGUUAUUAAAAAUAGCUAUAUUCGUAAAUGAAGUUAAUUUAAAAAAUGCCAUCGUGAUUUGAAUGACGGUGUCUAACCAUAAAAAUGCAUUAAGUAAAUAGUCGUUAUUUUUACAUUUUGCACUAGUGACAUUAUAACCCAAUAAUGCUCAACACUCAAUUUAUGCUUGCUAAAGUAAGAAAUUUAUGUAAUUUAGUUCUUAUUGUUUGUUGCUUCACAUAUUUUGUCAAUAAAAUUUCUUUUUUCUCUUAGUUAUUGCUAUUUAUUGUAAUUAUUUUUUCAAAAACUUUAUGAGAUAGUUAUUGAAUUAAAAUCAUUAAUUAGUUGUUUAUUUUAAAUUUGUUGAUUAAAUAAUAUAAUGAGCUUUAAAGUACAAAUGGAACCUACACACAUAUGACUAUAUUGGUAAUUACAUUUGUACAAUUAUAUUAUUUAUUUUUUUGAAUAGUUUAAAUCUUACCUGUUGCAUUAUUAAAAUGUGUUGACUUUCCUAAUAUGUGCAUUACAAGAAAUAUUGAUAUUAACCUCCCAAAAAGCUACACAAAAAUUAAAAAGAAGACACUAAACGAUAAUUAGAAUAAGUAAUUUAGUGUCUUUUUUAAUCUUUGUGUGAGUUUUUUUUUAUGCUAACAACAAUAGUUUUUUAAAUGGUGGUCAACACUUUAAAUUUGAUAGUUACAUUAAAUAAGUAUAUUUAUAAUUAUGUUUUGAAUUAUUAUUGUUAUAUCUAAUUUGUACUUUUAUUUUUUUCUUUUUUAUAUAUAUUAUUAUUUAUUAUUUAUUGUUACAUCUAAUUUUUAAUUUGUUUCUUUAUUUAUUAUAGAUAUACUUGCAAAAAUAAUGUUGCAUAGUAAUCUAUUUUAUUUUUUAAUAUUAUAAUUUUUUCUUAUUAUAAAAUUUUAUUAUUAUAAUUCAUUGUUUUAUAAAAUACCCGCGGGUUUUAAAAAAGUAAAAAUAUUUAAAUAUACCCAUGUGUCGGUCUAGCCGACGUAUCAAUUAAAUAUAUAUUUUCUAAACAUUAUUGUUGGUCAAGCUAACGCAUCAAUUAAAUAUAUCUUUUCUGGAUAUUAUUGUCGGCUAGACCGAUGCACGACUCAAAUUAUGCGUCAAUCUAGCUUAUACAAUAUUAUUAUUAUUAUUAUUAUUAUUAUUAUUAUUAUUAUUAUUAUUAUUAUUAUUAUUAUUAUUAUUAUUAUUAUUUCACUUCUUCUUUGCUCGUCUCACAUGCGUUGUAAGGCCCACGAGAAAAUGAUUUUGUGUUCGCAUUGUGUGGGUUUGGUCAACACAAAUGACGUCCACGCUUGGUCGACGCAAAUAUAUGGCAACUAAUGACGUGUUUUCUUGUAGUGAUAAGAUGUUUUCUUACUAAUAAUUUAUUGUUAGUUUGUCCCUUAAUGUGGUUGAUUACUUAGUCAGUCGGUGAAUGAUGUCGAGUGACGUGACCAAUUUAACCUGAACUGGUGUAUUUACAAUUUUGUUAAAAAGUUAAAAGUAAGGGUUAUUUUAAUUUGGAAACAGCAUUUUUAUAAAGGUUAAAUUAAAGUGAUCAAUAAAGAGAAAAAGUAUAAAUAUUAUCAAUGUAUGAAUUACAAAAUGAUACUAAACAUUAUUUAUCUUUGGGUAAACCAUCCGUGUAAAUUUGAGCUUUAUCAAGUCUAAUACACUAUUGAAAUCAAAAUAGAUACUAUAUAGAACCGAAUAUAUAUAUAUAUAUAUAAGAAUCCAAAAUGACAAGGCCACUAAACUAGCAUAAUCGAAGUAUAUAUAUAUUCAAGAAACUUUGGUGAUGGACACUACCACGUUAGUAUACUCCAACGUCUCAAACUCAAUGAGUUGGACAACUUGGUUUGCAAAUCUGGUGAACAAUUCAUCCAUGUUAUCUUGCCCAAACUCAACUGACAAAACAGGUUCAAAAACAGCUCUAAUGGACUUAACUAUGAACUCUCCUUUCAUUUUGCUAUCAAGGUUAGAAUCACCAACAUCCUCAUGAAGAUUUGCGUUCCAACCUAUGUUGAAAGUCCUCAAAGUUUGAAGGGUAAAAGAUCCUUCUGCUUCAAUCACUUGUCUAACUUCUUCAGCAGUGGGACAAUAUAUAGGUAGAUCAAAGUAGUCUAACUUUUUCUCAUCAAGUAGACCCUACAAUCAUAAAGAGCAAAUAAAACAACCUUAUUUCGUACAAAUAAUACAACUACUAUUUUGAUGUGUUGGUGCAGUGUUGGCCAAUCAUCUAUAAACCUUAUCGCUUACCUCUUGGACCAUGUCAUUGAGUACCAUUCCGAUUACCUCUGUAGGAUGACCAAUUUUAUAUGUUUCAUCUCUACCCAUGAACGUGAGUAACAUGCUACCACCCGACCUUAGUUCCUCCGAGCGUGAUUUAAGAAAAAGUUUGAAAUCCUUUUCAAAUUGCUUCAAGUAUGCUUCAUAGACUGAAGGAGGGUUGGCACUUGUUAUAUAAACGUUUCCCUUGUUGAGUGGUUCAGCUAUGUUGGUCGAAGUUGGUGCCUGAUACCAUACAAAUUGAGACCAAAGAGUUAACUUGGGAAUUGUAAAGCCAAAUAUAAAAUGUAGCAAUCUAUGACUUUAAAUGCUUGAGCCAGCACUUUUCUUUGCAAGUAAUUUGUAUCCAUAACAUAAUGGUAGGAAAAGCUUGGUUAAUUUGGUGGAAUUGACCUGAGAUAGCCAAUGCAGACUGUAGGAGGAAUGAAAGAAGUGGAUGUAAUCAUCAGGAAAAAGCCUUCCAUAGAAGUUUCCGGGUGUUGCAUGAAUAAAGCAUCUUCCAUGAUUCUGGUUUUUCUCUUUGUGUAUUCUUUCUAAGAAGUCAGGGAUCAACUUGAAGAAGCUGUUGAAGUCAUUUCCAAAUAGAUCAUUCAUGUAAAUUUGCAAUACACGAGGCCUACUUUGGUUUAAGCUCAAGCUAGCCUUAUCCAUUAGGCUUACCAUAGUUGACACAAAUAAGAGUGAAUUUGGCCCCGAAGAGCAUCCCAAAUCAGCAACUUUCCAACAGCUUUCUGAAGUUAUGUUUGACAUCAACAGUUUUACAUUAUCUUCAAGUAUAGGUUUCACUAUGCUUCCCACUUUUCUCUACACCAAAUUUAAUUUGGGUCACCAUCUAAUAGUUUAUAUAUAUCAUUGUCAUAAACUCUUUUCUUUUUAGCAUAUUUGCAAGUAAAAAAAAAAAAAACUCUAUGUAUUUUAUAUGCGUUUUGUUUUCUAAAGCGGAAAAGAGAUGAUACCUGAAGUAAGGAGUUUCUGGUAUAGCUGGUUUCUCCCUCACCACCCUUCAUGUGAAGUACUCUCUCAGUUGCCAUUAUGUAAUGAAUGGUAACUCAACAAUACCAAUGCCAAACAAUUAUGUAAGGCUACGGGAAGUGUCAACAUUUAUAUACACACUUUAUUGUUAGAAUGAGUGUGGUCCCAUUUUCUUAUUCUACUAUACUUAUCCUAGGAAACAAACACAAAAACUAUAAAGAAGAUGACCAAACAAGACCACAAAAGUUGUAGACUUUUUUCUCUUUGGAUUUUUCUUUUCUUUUUUUACAUUUUGUAAGAGUCCUAAAGUCUUCUUGACUUAAAGAAGUUCUUUCUUCAACUCCUUAGCUUUGCUGCUUAUAAAGCUCCUUUGAAAGCCUCUUCGAUGACCUGUAUUCUUUUCCUUUCCUUUAACUUUCCUUGUUUCUUGUGAUGACUCCAUCUUGUGUUAGUAUAUUUUGAACCAUGAUCUCCUCAUUAUACAAUUAUACUAUAAUCUGCAACAGCUUAAUGAUUAUAGACCAAUUUCGUUGGUUGAGUGUGUAUAAAACGGUUUCGAAGAUUUUGACUAUUAGGUUGAAAAAAGUCAUCAGUAAAGUUAUCGACGUUAGGCAAUCUGUCUUUCUUGAAGGAAUGGGGUUAUUGGAUAGUAUUUUGGUAGCCAAUGAAGCCUUAGAAGAGUUGAAGAGGAAGAAGAAAAGUUGUGUGUUUUUCAAGGUGGAUUAUGAGAAGGCUUACAACUCUGUGAGGUGGGAUUUUAUAUAUUAUAUGCUAGGAAGGCUUGGCUUUUGCGAAAAGUGGAUUUCUUGGAUUAAAGCUUGUUUGGAAUCAGCAUCGAUGUCAAUUCUCGUAAACAGGAGUCCUACUAAGGAAUUUUUUCCGAAGAAAGGGUUGAGACAAGGUGAUCUGUUAGCUCCAUUCUUGUUUCUUAUAGCGACUGAAGGGUUAGCCGAGGUAUCUAGGACCGUGGUUGAGAAAAACUUGAUUGAGAGCUUGGAGAUUGGGAAUAAAUCGGUAAAAGUAAAUAUGCUCUAGGAUGCUGAUGACAUUUUGUUCUUUUGUAAGGCAAAGAGCAAAAGUGUAUUUAAUAUAAAGGUUAUGUUGAACUGUUUUGAGUUGGCAUCUGGUCUUAAGGUGAAUUUCUCCAAGAGUAGAAUUGGUGGGAUUGGGGUGGAGCAGACGAAGAUUCUCCACUUUGCAACUAUUUUAAAUUGUGAGGUGAUGAGAAUUCCUUUUAAAUAUUUGGGGAUGCCUGUAGGGGGGUGUCAUAAGAGGAGUGAGUUCUGGGAUGAAGUGGUUAAUAGGGUAAAGAAAGGGCUAGGUAGGUGGAAAGGAAGAUUUAUCUCGAUGGCAGGGAGGAUAUGCUUAAUUAAGUUUGUCUUGUUGUCAAUACCUUUGUUCUAUCUUUCUCUGUUCAAGAUACCGUCUAUUGUUUUAAAGAAGAUUGUGAGUCUGCAGAGGGAUUUUUUGUGGGGUUGGGGGUCAGAUGGAAGGAAGGUUGCAUGGGUGGCAUGGGGUAAGAUUUGUAAAUCCAAGGAUGCAGGAGGGCUCGACAUUAUUAAUAUCAGGCAAUUUAAUUUGGCGUUGUUGGAAAAAUGGGUUUGGCGCCUAAACACGGAAACGGGGGGUUGUGGAGGGAGGUAUUGGAUUCUAAGUGUGGAGGAUGGAGAGGUUUGAAGGAGCAACGAGAUAUUAAUAGUAAGGUCUCUCUGUGGUGGAGAGAUUUAAGGAAGGUCUGGAGGUCUGAAUAAAUGAGGAGGGAAGUUUGAAGAUCGUUUGUCUUUGGAGGUCGGUAACGGGAGAGAGGUUAUGUUUUGGUCAGACAAUUGGAUAGACUCAGAAGACUUGAAAAGCAUAUUUCCAAGGUUAUUUUCUUUGUCUGUUAAUAAGGAGGCAAAAUUAUGUGAUUGCGGAAUAUGGGGGAACAGGUCCUGGGAGUGGAAAUUAAGGUGGAGAAGGGGUUUGUUUGCUUGGGAAGAGGAGCAAGAAAGUCAACUCUUAGAGUUGAUCUCUAAUAAGAUGCUCGAGAUGGAAACAAUGGAUAGAUGGGUAUGGAAGGAUAGUGAGUCAACAGAGUUUUCAGUUAAGUCCGCUUAUGUUUUUUUAAGGGGAGAAGGAAGUGAGGAAGUCUCAAGAAGAUAUAAUUUUUUAUGGAAAAUUAAGGCGCUUCCCUCAGCUCAUGUCACAUCUUGGAGAGUGAUGAAAAACAAGGUUGCUUGUAAGGUUAAUCUGGAGAGAAGAGGAAUCGAGAUUGAGAGUAAUAUGUGUUGCUUGUGUAGGAGGUCUGAGGAGUCAACAAAUAAUUUGUUUUGCGAAUGCAGAGUUGCUUGGUUAAUUUAGAAUCAUUUUUAUGAAUGGUUAGGAGUAAGAUCAGUCGAUUUUAUGGAUCCUAGGUCUCAUUUUGAACAUUUCAAGAUUCUAGAUGCACCCACUUCAGUUAAUCUUAUUCUGGGCAAUGUGUGGAUUGCAUUGAUUAGUGAGAUAUGGAGGCAUAGGAACAACUGUUUAUUUAAAGGUGGAGUGGUUGAUCACAUUGAAGUGUUCUCUCUAGCACAGAUUAAGGUUUGGUCAUGGAUCUCUUCAAAGAUACCGUCAGCUAAUUUCUCAUUCUCUGAUUGGUGUCUUGAACCAUUGGUUUGUAUGCAUUCAAUUUAGUUUGUUAUAAGGAUUGAUCCUUGUUAUUCUUUGUUAUUUUGGUAGAGAUGGGUUAGAUUGUAGGAGGUCUUGUUGGCUUAUAUGAAGUUGGAAAGGUAAUCUGUGAACAUCAUUUUACUAUAUAAGGGUUAGAGCAUCCUAAAGUGGUCCCAUUUAAUUUCAUUACUAUUUGCUGAAGAAAAAAAACCAGCUAUACUAUAAGUGACUCACGUAAAACAUACCUAAAGUGACAAAAAAGAUACAUGAAUAGUGUUUCUCAUUACUAAAUUGGAAAGCCAAUUAGAUGAUUUCACCAGAUUUUUCAAGUCUUAUACACACUAAGAGAUCAAACUAAGUUUUCACGUUCCUAUCCAUAGUAAGUUUAACCUUCUUUACAGCACUUCUGCAUUAAUCACUUUUUGAAAUUUGACAAAAUCAAACCUUUUUUUUUUUUUUACUUUUAAUCUCUUUGAAAUAAAAAUAUCCUUGAUUCUUCUCCUCCUCUGAAAAAUUAUCACAUACCUCUUUCGUCAUGGUCAUUUGAAAAAUUGGAAAAGAAGAAGCUAACCUUCAUUGCCUCAGUCUUAAGCAAAACAGUAAAAAGAAAGAAAAACACUAAAGACUAAAGGAAUAUCAAGACUAUAUAAAAAAGUUAAGAGGGAUUUAACUUAAGUGCAUAACUUUAAACAUACCUAAUCCUUUAAAAUAAUUUUAAAUUUACAAUUUGAAUACACAUAAUAUUUUUAAUUAUCUAUAUAUAACAGACGAAUACAUUAAAAAGUUAUAACAAUAUAAAAAAUAUAUAAAUUAGAAUUUCAAUAUCUGUUAAGAUACAAAAUAUUUUACUUGUACUUGCACAGCAGAGUGUUUUUCUUUGUUCUUCGUUUGGGAUAUAGUGUUAUAUUUGUUUACAAUAGUUAAAGUAAUAUAAAAAAAUUAUAAAUUAUCUUCGUUUCAGCAAUGUAAGUCAGGAUAACACAGAACAAUUUAGAAUUUCUCAAACUCGUGUUCAUGACAAACCUUUUCUGCUGGAAAGAAAAAGAAAAGAUCUUUUAGUAAAAGAAAAGAAAAGUACUACUUAUCUUUACUAAAACAAUUGAAAAACUAUGGAUAUAAGUUUAUUAUUCGGUGUUAGAUUGUAUUUUUGAAGGUAAAUCUUUUAACAAAAAAAUUUCGUUUCUCUGUACAAGGUAAAAUUAUUUUAUAAAUAAAUUAAAAAUUAUAUUUUACAAAAUUAAUAAAAAUAUAUAAACUAUUUUAAUUAAUAAACUAAUUGUUUUAAAAAAAAAACUUUUACACAUUUGCACAUGAUAUCAAUAUGAAACACACUAACAAUGGCCACCGACAAAACUUUUUGUGUUAUGGGACCUAUAUCUUUCAUUUUCUUUUGGUUUUUAGUAGUCACUUGUCUUUUAUGAUUGAACUUUCAAAGAUAUGGGAUAUUAUUUUAGUAUGGGCAAGUUUAACACUUUUUUUUUCUCACAAUAGCAAAACUUAGUUCAUAUUUAUUAGAGGCCCAUUAUAAUUUUAAAAAAGUUAUACACAACUAACUCGAAAUUUUAGAAGAGGCUUGAAUCUAUGUUUUUUCUAUAAUUGUGUUUAAUUUUAUUAAUUUUAGGUUUUAUCUAUCCAACUAUAAAUUUUCCCACGCUUUUGUUUUUAAAUUAAACAAUUUUCAUUGACUCUCAACAAUUUUAAAUCCCAUUCAAUAUUAUUUUCAAGGUUAAUUAAAGUUUUAUAAGCUGAAGACGCGUUAACCACAAUGGUAAUUGUCUUAGCCACGGUGCUAUCAGAGAAGGUCGUUCUCAACUCGAUGUACCCUCGUACCUCUACCUGAUCUCUCGCGAAGCGUUAAAAUUUGUUGCAUUACAACUUUAAUGUUAAAAAAAAAAAAAUUGUUACAUACGAAUUCGUAUGUAACUCUGUUUUACAUACAAAUAUUUAGUCUUACAUAUGGAUUUUGGCUGCAUGUAAUUGCAGAUUUUCUUGUAGUGAUAACGUUCAACAACUAAAGCAAUUUCGUUAAGUUUUUAUUAGUGCAUCCAUUUAUUGCCUUAUAAUUCAUCAAUCUUAAUAUCGUCGACAACUGUGUGAAGUUAGUUGAUCCAGGAUACAAUGGAGUCUCUGAAUCGCUUGACAUACUUCCAUAUCCAUGAGCUUCUACAAAAGACUUAGUUUCCACAUCACGAAUCAUGUCCUCCUAUCGAUCAUCACGUACAUUAUCAUGUAUUGCAUCAUCCAUGGUGGACCCCACAUAUUCUUCAGUUACAAAAACAUGUGGUAAAUUUAAUAAUUCACCAUGCCAUGUCCAAGUUGUAUAAGAUCGAAGAAACCUAUCUCAUAGAAGGUAUUCCUUGAUUAACUUAACAUCUAGUAUCUGUCCAUUCAAAUAGUUAAUACAUUGACACUUGAUCUUUGCUCCAUCAUGACCAUUAUUAUUCACGUUACGUUGCGCAAAAAGUAUAAAUUCUUUUACUCCUCUUUUGUACUCAUCACUUAUGCGAACAAAAUUAAUCCAAUUUCGGUCCAUUAUACCCUGUAAUAGUCAUUUAGGUGUUUUCUAAUGAGUGUUUUAUCUCACACGUUUGCUGAGGGUCGAACACCAUCGGACUCAAUACCAACACAAUAAUUCUAUUCUAAACUAACAACUAACAUAAUAUAAAUUAAUAAUAAAUACAAAAUAAUAUAAAUUUUAAAAAUAAACAAAUUCAUAACAUUAAAAAAAUUCAAAAAUAAUUUAAAACACCACCAACCUUGUGCGUGAAGGCAAUGUUGGUGAAGAGUGGCAGGGGACCGACGACAGCAGAUGCGACAACGGACAUGGCAGCAGCGACGGAGCAAAGCAAAAACCCACACAAAUAGCUACAAAGGCAAUGAAACAGUACUUCGAGCAAUGCAAGAAAACAAACAAAGUAAGAGAAAUGAUUUUUUUUAAAUCAUUGGAGAAGAAGAAAGAGAGUUCCAACGAACUUACAAUGGCACGAAAACACAAUGAAGCUCGCAAAAGAAAAGCGAAACACCAGAGUAGAAACAGAGAGCAAAUACGAAGCGCAAAGAAGAGAAAGAAAGUAUGGAAGCAUAAGUGGUGCGCUUCAGAGUUAGGGUAAAAAAUAAUUUAAGAAUGCAGCUAAUUGUAAUAGUUGCAUUCUUAAAUCACGCGCUUUGAUAAAAGAAUGCAGCUAUAGGUAAAGCCGCAUUCAUAAAUCAAGCGCUUUGAUUUAAGAAUGCGACUGUUAGGAAUAACCGAAUUCUUAAAUCAAAGCGUAUGAUUUAAGAAUGUUGUUAUUACAAAUAGUUGUAUUCGUAAAUGAAGUUAAUUUAAAAAAUGCCACCGUGAUUUGAAUGACGACGUCUAACCGUAAAAAUACAUUAAGUAAAUAGUCGUUAUUUUUACAUUUUUCACUAGUGACAUUAUAACUCAAUAGUGCUCAACACUCAAUUUAUGCUUGCUAAAGUAAGAAAUUUAUGUAAUUCAGUUCCUAUUGUUUGUUGCUUGACAUGUUUUGUCAAUAAAAUUUCUUUUUUCUCUUAUUUAUUGCUACUUAUGGUAAUUCUUUUUUCAAAAACAUUUUGUGAUAGUUAUUGAAUUAAAAUCGUUAAUCAGUUGUUUAUUUUAAAUUUGUUGAUUAAAUAAUAUAAUGAGUUUUAAAGUACAAAUGGAACAUACACACAUGACUAUAUUGGUAAUUACAUGUACAACGAUAUUUAUUUUUUUUGGAAUAGUUUAAAUCUUACAUGUUGACUUAUUAAAAUAUGUUGACUUUCCUAAUAUGUGCAUUACAAGAAAUAUUGAUAUUAGCCUCCCAAAAAAUCCACACAAAGAUUAAAAAAGAGACACUAAAUGAUAAUUAGAAUGAGUUUAGUGUCUCUUUUAAUCUUUGUGAGUUUUUGGGAGGCUAACAACAAUAAUUUUUGUAAUGGUGGUCAACACUUUAAAUUUGAUAGUUACAUUAAAUAAGUAUAUUUUUAAUUAUGUUUUGAAUUAUUAUUGUUAUAUCUCAUUUGUACUUUUAUUUUUUUCUUUUUUAUAUAUAUUAUUAUUUAUUAUUUAUUGUUACAUCUAAUUUUUAAUUUGUUUCUUUAUUUAUUAUAGAUAUACUUAAAAAAAUAAUGUUGCAUAGUAAUCUAUUUUAUUUUUUAAUAUUAUAAUUUUUUCUUAUUAUAAUAUUUUAUUAUUAUAAUUCAUUGUUUUAUAGAAUACCCGCGUGCUAGUAAAAAUAUACUUACAAUAAACUAUUUAAAAUUAAAAUAUUUAUUACAGCAUUAUAAAUUAAAAAUAAAUAAAUCUUUAGAAAAAGUAAAAAUAUUUAAAUAUACCCAUGUGUCGGUCCAGCCAACGUAUCAAUUAAAUAUAUAUUUUCUAAACAUUAUUGUUAGUCAAGCUGACGCACGACUCAAAUUAUGCGUCAAUCUAGCUGAUGCAAUAUUAUUAUUAUUAUUAUUUUCAUUUUCUCUUUGCACGACAUGCGUCGAAAGGUCCACGAGAAAACGAUUUUGCGCUCGUAUUGCGUGGGUUUGGCCGACACAAAUGACAUCCACGCUCGACUUAAAUAAUGACACAUUUUCUUGUAGUGAUAGGAUGUUUCCUUACUUAUAAAUAUUUUUUUAUCAGCAAAUAAUUAAAUAAAAUUAAAAGGGACACUUCAAGGGUGUUCCAACCCUUAUACAACCCGAAAAAACACACUCUCAGAAUGCUACCUAUCGUAGCAUCAAGAGCGGCAACCCACAAACCCCCCAUCCCACUAGAGUUCCACCUCAGGUACGUAACCAAAAGGCCACCAACAUCAGAACUGGUUUGCAGAACAGCUAGUGGUCCAGCCAUCCAACUAGCACAGGUUACCAAAACUGCACCUAAACCAUCCUUGUUGAAUUUUCCAGCGGCCAAGCUAAAAACCAGCUUUGACAGCAUCAGCAUAACAGCACUCCAAAGGCACCAACCAACACUCCAAUCUGCCCUCCAACCAGCACACCGUCCAAGGGCAGCCCAACCAAUGCACAUGACCAUCUUCAACCCAGAAUCUUGCACAACCAACUCUCCAACCAACAUAUUCCUCCAGAGAAGACCUUCCUUAAAGCUUGAACCAACGACCAUUUAACACCCCGUACAUAUCCCUUGAAAGCAUAUAAAGCCGAACAAAAAACUACACAACCACUCUGGUACUAGCUCCUUGCCAAGCUUAGGGACCUACACCUCCACCAAACUAGCAGCUUCACAUACCCAAUGCAGACCUAAACCAUACCAGGGGAUAAAACUUACUACUCCUGAUUGUCUAAAGCUAGCUCCUGCAAUACAUUCCAGAGGACCAAAGCUUAUGUUGAUUGAUAUGCCCAUUCAAGAUCUACCUCAGUACCAUCGCCAGCUUCUAUGAUACUUUGCUUAACAUGCUUACACACUGCUCCAACAAAAUUUCACCCAUGACUAUCAGAGGAACAAAACAACCAACUACAUGAUUCCAUUACCUCCCCAUGUCUUAAACCAGCAGAGCUUAUUCCUUGACAGAUUGUGAGGAAGCUAAAUGGGCUUGCUUGCCAGACCCAACACACUACUGGACAUCUACGGCUAGAUCUCAGCUCCUAUAGCCAGCAACACCAAAGGAUCUCCAGUAGUGUGUUAGGUUGUCAUGAAUUGCAGUAAGACAACCAAGGCUGAGAGGAAGGAAGGAUAAAAGCAAAUAUAGAACUAUGGAGCAACGCAGAGGCCGUUUGAGUUGUCAUGAAGAUGAAGGGGUCACAACGUUUUUCUUCUCGAACUUCCCAAACGGAGUGGGAGAGGUAGACAUGUUCAAGGUGUUUCAAAAGUGGGCUCGUGUGAAAGACGUUUUCAUCUCUCGAAAAUUAAAUAAAUGGGGAAGGAGAUUCGGUUUUGUGCGGUUCUUUGGAAUGAGAGAUGUGGGACAUCUGGAAAGAGAGCUAGAUCAGUUAUAUGUAGGGAAUAAGAAGCUAUUUGUGAACAUCCCAAAGUACCGAAGGAAUAUGGAGGAACAAAGCAGGACAGAAGGGAGGCUUCGGAGGGCUCCCUAUAGGGCGCGGCAGAAUGAAGAUAGUCAUGCCCACAAGAAAGUCACGGUGACAGGGGGAGAACAGAGAAGGGAGGACAUAUGGGUGGAGAAGAAAGGAAAUAGGUCUUAUGCAGAAGUUGCUACCGGUACAACUACGAAUCAGUGGAAGGGAGUAAGUUUCAAAAAACAACAACGUGUGUUACCGUGGAUGGAUAGGAGUGCGGUGGGGAAACUUAGGGUGGUAAGAACGUUGAACAGUUGGUGGAGGAGUUGGUGACAGGGGGCAUAAACAUGUUACGUGUAAGAGCUUUGGGGGACAACCUUGUAUUGCUUACACCAAGAGAAGGGGAGAAAAUGGAGAAUUUUAUAAAGGUAAAUAGUGAGUGGGUUGAUUGUGUGUUUGAAAGCAUUAAGCCUUGGUCGCUCUCCAGUGGUCCAAGUCAUAAAUCAAUUUGGGUGAGGUGCUACGGAUUGUCGCUUCCUCUGUGGAAUGAAGAGUGCUUUACCAAAUUGAUAGGAGCUCUAGCCCCGUCGGCUAUGCUGGUAGGUAUUGACAGCUCUACAGAGUCAUGGGAGAAUUUGGAAUUUGCGAGAUUACAAGUUCGAAUCCUGAAGUGUGAGAGUGCUAGAAUGGAAGAAUGUGUGCGAAUCAACAAUCAGCUAUGCAAUAUUCUCAUUGAAGAGGAGAGCCCAUGCUGGUAUGGAGGCAGGGGCAAGAACGUCAUAUCAUCCUCUACAUUGUCGGAGAGUGUAUCUUCCUCAUAAACUUACAUAGAAGAAACAGUUUUCACGAGGAUGAACGGUGAGGACGAUAAUAGAUUAUGGAGGGAGGAGGAACACUAUUCAAAACGAGAAGGGGAAGGAAAAAAGACGGUGGAAGAAGAUGAUGAACAGUACCCGAAUGAGACAAAACUGUUAUAUGUGGGCUCCUCUUCAAAAACAAAAGGUUGUUAGUGGAAAGGUGAAAAAACCUUAAUAGAAGGAGAAAGAUAUGGGCAUAAAGGAUUUGUUAAUGUUGACUUGAUAUCUUUCUCUGAUGAUGACUGUGGGGUAGUUGGGUGCGGCAAACCAAUACAAGCUGAGUUGGCAAAAUUGGUGAUAGAGCUGGAGUGUGGAAAUAACUUACCAGUUACAUGUGGGACAACGGGCCUUGAAAGAAAGAAAGAUGCCCAUUUCGUAGGGGGCUGGUCCGUGCACUUAGCCCAGUCAGAAGAGGAAGUUGAUGGUGCUGGAAAGAAGAUAGAUGAAGAGGAGUGUGGCUUAAAGGAUGAAACAGGAAAUAGCUUGUUGGAGCGCGUAAGCCCGUUAGGGGACCCAGGGGUGAGUCCCAGUGGAGUAAAAUGACGGGUUCUCCUACACGAACCAAAAGCAGCGGGUCUUGUGUUGGAAAGUGGUUCAUCAUCUAAGAAAGAGGUAAGCAUGGGGGAACAAUGUGCGUCUGGAAGAGCAAUGAUGGGAGCACUAUCAGAGCCCCCUUCUGAAGAUGGGGGAGUAGUAGAGAAAUGCAAGUCAAACUCACCGCAACGUCUGAGAAAGAAGAAAGGCCUUGGCAUUGUGGGGGAAUCACGAUCACACCCGAGGCGGUCGGCAAGGAUUAGUGAAAGACACUCCCAGGCGAGCAUAGUGGAAUCACCGUAGCUGUGGGCAAUUGGAAAGAAAAUUGGUUUGUUGUGCUGAGAAGAUGAACAGGAGGUUAUUAAAGAAUACAAUGGUAUGGAAGUAAGAGACUCGGAGAUGGCGUUUGGCCAUAAAGAAGGGAAUGAUAAUAGUGUUUUAUGAUUAUUGUGACCUUCAAUAUAAGAGGAUUGGGGGGAGGUAAUAAAACUAGGUACCUGAGACAUAUUAUAGCGAAUGAGGGUGCUGAUUUUGUGUGUUUGCAAGAAACAAAAGUGAAGACUUUAUCUGAUGCUAAAUGUUACUCUUUGUGUGGGAGCAAUAAAGUGGGUUGGAUACACUAUGAAGGGGAGAAUGGAAGUGGAGGAAUGUUGUCAAUGUGGCAUCAAGAAGCUUUCACAUAUGAAAAUCACCUUAUGGGAAAGGGGUACAUUGCGGUCUACGGCAGUCAUGUUAAAGAUAAUCUGAGAUGUGUUGUGGUUAAUAUCUACGUUGCCUGUAACUUGAGAGAUAAUAAGACCCUGUGGAUGGAGUUAUCCAAUAUCAAAUUUAUCUCACAAGAGGCGUAUUGGUGUUUAUGUGGCAAUUUUAAUGCUAUCAGAAGUCGAGCUGAAAGGAAAGGAAGCACGAAUAGAGUGAAUUACGCAAGUGAGAUUAGAGGUUUUAAUAGCUUUAUUGAUGAUAAUUUGUUGUUGGACACUCCUAUUGUGGGCAAAAAAUAUACUUGGUUUAACUCAAAUGGGUCGGCAAAGAGUAGAAUAGAUAGAGUGUUGGUUACAGAGGAAUGGAUAGAAAAGUGGCCUAUGUGCAAACAGUAUUGUAUCGCCCUGGUAGUCGGAAGUGAUGACGUGGCAUCGAGCUGUUAUAUAGGCGUGUUGGAUGGGGCACCUGGUUGGCAGAAGGGAAGGAAGUCGGGGGGUUGGUGUAGUCGCCAGUUGUUAAGUUGGCAUGUUCCGAUCUCCAGCAUGCCUAAACCGGCGGUCACCGGGUUGAAGAUGAAGUCGCCAGAUGUGAACCCAGGCGACCAAGUGAUUAGAGAUCGCCGAAACGAGGACAUCGCCGAAGAUGAAGGCAGAUAGUCAUUUCCCAGCUGGCCAGAGGCUGAGGUCGGGAGACAGCUUACUUGAGCAUAUACGGUGAAACAGGUAGGGUAGAUCAUGAAGGCGGCCGGCGAGACCACAGGGAAGGUGUGUACGAAGGCACCCGAACUCGCCACCCAGUAGAGAUCACGCUCCAAGGCAGCUAUGCACUGAGUUGUAUCAUGCAUAAGUAACUUAGCCAACAAACCUGAAGAGUAAGAAAUAGCGCCCAAGUCAAGGAUGCUCCAGAUGAUGGCACGUGUACAGCUGGAUGUGAGCCACGUGUCCAGAUGUGUAACUACCAGGAGAGAGAAAGUGCCCAGGUAUAUAAGAGUUUCCAACGAACUUCUGAGGUACGGAUUUUCAGAUUGUUUCUUUACGCUUGCAAGUUUUGAGUACGCUGAGGAGAACUUGUCACGGUUCCUUAGAGUUCUUGAGUUUUACUCUUAAGUAAUUGGUGGUUCAGUCGCUGACUUGGGUGUCGGAGCGUGAUCGGCCGCAGCGGCGCCGUUUCGUCUUUUGCAGGUUCUUGAGGUGGAUCACGGUGAAGGACGGAGGCUAACACGGCGCAGAAGUCGAUCCAAGUUUGACGAGGCAAAGCUCCAGCGUUUUGGUCAACAGGCAGGAUCAAGUAUGUACAACGAAGGGAAGUCUCCGAUUACUGUGCCAUAGUGGUGAAGUCAACGGAAAAAGAUUGGGGACCUAAACCUUUCCGAACUAUUGAUGCGUGGUUGUCAAAAAAAGGUUUUGGUGAGAUGGUGAAGACUAAGUGGAACUCCUAUUCAAGCUGGGGGAGAGGGUUUGUGAAGAUAAAAGAGAAGCUAAAGUGUUUGAAAGGGGAUCUAAAACUAUGGAAUAAGGAUGUGUUUGGGAACAUUAACACAAGUAAAAAGAGAAUUUUGCAAGAUAUUGAAGACAUUGAUUGUCAAGAUUGCAAUGGGAAUAUCACGGAAAAUGCCAGGCUUAAAAGGUGUGAGCUGUUAAGCCGUCUCAAGGAAAUUGAUAAAAAGCUUGACUCGCUUACGUGCCAGAAAGCGAGAGUAAGCUGGCUCAAGAAUGGGGACUCCUGCACGAAGUUCUAUCAUUCGACCCUUAGAUGGAGAAGACUAAGAAAUGAAGUUAAUGGUGUGGAGAUUGGAGAUCAGUGGUGUGAGGAACCUAGUACGGUGCGAAGAGAGGCGAAGAUGCUUUUUUAGAAGAGAUUUACAACGACGAAGGAUCUGGGCGUAAGACUGGAUGCAGUUGAUUUUAAAACUCUCACUGGUGAGGAUAAUCUGGGUCUUAUAGCUGAGUUUACUGAGAAGGAAAUUAGAGAUGAUGUGUGGCAGUGUGAAGGUGCAAAGAGUCUAGGCCCGGAUGGUUUCAAUUUUAACUUUCUGAAGAAGUGUUGGGAAGUCAUAAAAGUGGAGGUUGUGGAAGCCAUAAAAGUGAAGGUUGUGGAAGCGGUGAAGCAGUUUCACGAAAAUGGGAUUAUCCCAAAAGGCUGUAAUGCCUCUUUUGUUGCUUUGGUACCCAAGGUCAGGGACCCUUCCAGGCUCGAGCAAUACAAACCUAUUUCGUUAGUAGGUGCUAUAUACAAAAUUAUAGCAAAGCUGUUGGCGGAAAGGAUAAAGAAAGUCCUACCCUCUGUUGUGGAUGAAAGCCAAUCAGCGUUCCUGAAGGAUAGAUGAAUCCUUGAUAGUGUACUAAUGACUAAUGAGGUGGUAGAAGACAUAAGGAGAAGAGGGAGAAGUGGGUUGUGUCUAAAGGUAGAUUUCGAAAAAGCAUACAACUCAGUCAAAUGGGAGUUCCUCUAUGACAUUCUUCAGGAUGGGGUUCCAUCACAAAUGGAUCAUGUGGAUUUGAGGGUGCUUGGAAACUGCUACUAUAUCAAUUUUAGUUAAUGGGAGCCCUACGGAGGAAUUUAAACCCUCUAGAGGGCUGAGGCAGGGUGAUCCCUUAACAUCUUUCCUCUGUCUUGUAGUAGCUGAAGGCUUGGUUGGGUUGGUAAGGCAAGCUGUGAAGACAAACAUGCUUUUUAGCCUUAAGAUCGAAAGAAAGGAGGUCGAUAUGAGCCUCCUUCAGUAUGCAGAUGAUACCUUGUUCCUUUGUGAAAACUCUUUUACAAAUGUGGUGACUUUGAAGGCUAUUUUAAGGGGUUUUGAGGUAGCCUCAGGUCUUAAGAUUAAUUUCCAUAAAUCAAAGCUAAUAGGUUUUAAUGUACUUAGUAGUGAUAUUGACUGCUACACAAGGACUCUGAAUUGCUCUCAGAUGGGAAACAAGUUCAACUACUUGGGCCCAGAGGUAGGGGGAAAUCCAAGGAGGAAAAAGUUCUGGGAGCCUGUGCUAUGCAAGCUUAAAUCACGGCUUAAUGUGUGGAAAGAGAGAUUCCUAUCAAUGGCUGGUAAAAUAUGUCUUAUCAAGUCCGUUAUCACGGCCAUACCGCUGUAUUAUUUCUCUCUUUUCAAAGCUCCAAAGUCGGUAUGUAAAAGUAUUAUCAGCAUUUAGAGAAGGUUUCUCUGGGAUGGGGAAAGGAGAAAAGACCGGUGGCUUGGGUUAGUUGGAAAAAUAUAUGUAAACCGAAGGAAGAAGUGAGACUAGGUAUCAGAGAUAUACGUAAGUUUAAUGCAGCGCUCUUGGCUAAAUGGAGAUGGCGUUGUAUAUCAGAAGAGAAAAGGAGGUGGAAGGAAUGUCUGGACUCAAAGUAUGACCUGGAAUAUAAUGUUACUCGAAUUUCGUUGAAAUUACAGUCAUGGUGGUGGAGAGAUUUACGAAAGGUAUGUGGGGAGGAAGGAACAGAUGGGUGGUUUCAAGAGGAGGUCGGCUAGAGCAUAAGGAGUGGAGAUAAAACAAGAUUUUGGGAGGAUGUGUGGGUUGGUAAUGCAAAUCUCAAGUCCCUAUUCCCUAGAUUGUACUUAAUAUUGAUGAACCAGGGUCAAAAGGUGGAAGAGGUAGGGGGUGGGAAGACUUGGGGUGGUGUUGGAAACUAAGGUGGAGGUGAGUAAGAUUUGAAUGGGAGAUUCCUUUAGAAAACGCACUUGGUAUACUUAUAUCUAGUGCUUCUGUAAAAAGGGAUAGAAAGGAUGCCCGGGUGUGGACAAGCGAUGAAUCUGGAAGUUUUACGGUGAGAUCUGCAUAUGAAUGCCUAGUUAAAGCUGAUAGGGGCCCACAGGUUGAUGUCUUCAAGUACCUAUGGAAGACUAAAACGUUCCCUAAUGUGGUGAUCACAGCAUGGAGGAUGUUGUUGGGUAGAGUACCCAUUAGAGAGGGCUUGAGAAAAAAAGGGGUGAUGCUGGACUCUGUUUCAUCUAACCCAUGUUAAUAACAAACAAAACAUGAUCUAGAAAGGUUUUUGGGUAGCUGCGGUGAGGUGUAUUUAGGAACAAAGGAACUAUGUGGUUUUUAAUUAGGGGUAGCUGAUUCGGAAGAAAUCUUGCAUAAGGCACAACUGAAAACCUGGCUUUGGUUGAAACAUACGAUGAGUUCCUUUGUUUAUUCCUUUCUAGAGUGGUAUCUGAACCCCUCAUGUGUAUCAAAAGUUAUAAGUAAAUAGGGAGGGGUAAAGUGAAGGUUGCUACUCUUCUCUUAAGUUGAAGGUAGUGAGAAGAAAGAAGAGUGAGGAUUGGGAUUGGUGGCAGAUUAAGCACUCAACAAUACAGUGGUGACAGGUUAAAAAAAGAGGAAUCAUGGUCUGUCUGUUUUCUACUGAAAUGCAGCAAAAUCAUGUUCGAAUAAAGCUUGUGCAACAACUUUUGGUUAGGAUAAAGUUGCCGUGAUGCAGUUGGUAGUGAUGCAGAGCAGUGUUGUGGGGUGGAAAGGUUCAUUAGAAUUUAUGUUCUGCUUAAUCUCUUGUGUUGUACUGUUGUGGCACUUCUAAGCUGUUUAAGCCGCCAAUAUCAAUUAGAAUUGGCAAAGGACCUGUAGAUGGUGCUCUAUGGGGUGUUUGUGCUGCAUUAGGUUGGUGAAGGCAGUUUGAAGGUUAUGCUAUGAAGAAGGGGAGUCAUUAUAGAAGAAGUGGUUGAGGGCGUAGGGUGGGUCACAGUGUAGAAGCUUAUGCAGAUCCACUCAGUGCGGACUCGUUUUUUUAGUGGCUAGACGUGAUAGUCUAAGACAGCUGAGGAAGUAUUGGAGGAAGAAGCUACUGUCAAUGCAGAACAAGCUGUAUAGCUGAGUAGAGCCAUAAGAUGCGUGUACAGUGUAGAGGAAAAUCAAGAAUUUCGUUCUUGUGAAUCACUGGAAUUCUUUAGUUCAAUGCGUAUGCUGCCAAGGUUUUAGGCAGCACAAGCCUUGUUAGAGCCUUUGGAACAAAACCUUUUUUGGAUGCUUUUGGAAGCUAUAGCAUGAUGUAGUUGUUUUUGGAAGGUAUAUAUGCUACAUAAUAGUGCCUAGCCUGUUGCCUCUGUGGCUGUUUUAGAAAAAAGGGUAUUGCGGUUUUUAUAAGAAAGUGUGUUGUAAUUUUGAAGUAGAGGGUACCAUAGGUACAUGGUUUGGCUUAUGCGGUUCAUAUGGACAAAUCCUACAAUGUUAUGCAACUAUGUGAAGUUCUGUGUGCAUCAUUUCUAAGCUUCUUAUGCCAAUUUUUGCAACAUAGGCGAAGUCCUUGCCAACUCUGCCCAUGCUGUCAUGCUUGUAUUGUUGUGAUGUUGCUAUCAUGGCAUCAAUGUUUCUAUGCAGAUUGGAGAGUGUAGAUGAAAUCCACACACUUAAGGAUCAAGACUCAGGACCUUUCAGGUGGAGUAGAGAAGAACUUCAUGGAAUUGGAGCUAGAAGGAUUGGAGUAAUUGGUGUGUCAGCUCUAGGGUGUGUGCCCUUGUAGAGAACACUUAAGGAGGCUUACGGUGAUAUUGUUCAAGUUCAGAUAACCAAGCAGCAUUUCUCUUCAACUCAAAACUUGCUGCAGCCACAAUCCUGGAUAAUUUUGCUGUAUAAUGUGGCAUAAGUGCUGCAAAUCAACUGCUUAAUUGCAGUACAACGGGGGAGCAUAGGCAAUAGUGUUUAAUUAUUCAACAUUUGUUGCACAAUGCUGGAAAGUGCAUAUUAUGUACACCUAGUAGUGUAUUGAGCAAUCCCCAACGCUAUUAUUAAGAGAUUAAAUAGAAUUAUUCUGCAGAAUUUUUAUGUGCUUAAUCUAUGUUUUCAGGCCAUUUGUGUAGUCUUUUAUGUGUUGGAGGAAGGGGUUGUAAGAAUGGAUUUUAGCUUAAGAACCUUAUGCCCUGAGUUGAUAAUUGGUUCUUGGUUCUUAAAUACCGGUUGCACACCACAAGUGUUUCCUUUUAAUUUAUUUAAUUUUUUUCUGAUUAAAAAGAAUAUAUAAAAUUUUAUAUAAUUUGAAUUAUAUUAACAUUUUAAUUUUAUACUUAUAAUCUAAAUAAAUAAAUAAAAAUUAAUACCAUUAAAAAGAGAUCAUAUAUGGUUGCCCACACCCAAAGAACUACCUCAAGGCAAAUACAUAAAAUAAAAAUUGUGUCUAAUUUUGUUAUGUAUAACUUUUGGCUCUUUCACCAAAAAGAAGAAUUUCAGCUUUCUUUACAACUUAACAAAUAUUUUGUAAGUGAUUUUUUUAUCAGCAAAGAAGCAUUUCUUAAGUGAUAAUCUCAAGUCAAUUUCUUUUUAAAUCAAUAUAUAAAUAUUUAGGUAGAAGUAGUCAUUUUAAUUUCUUUCUAAAUCAGUACAAAAUAUUUAGGUAGAAGCAGUCAUCUCUACCGUAGAAGAAGUAAUUCCUACUGUAGAACCAGUAUACAAUUCUAAGGAAGAUAAAUUCUCAUCAUACAUAUACCUUUGAACAUAGAAUGCAGGUUUUUGAGGUAAGGAUACUAUUGAACUCUUGCUUGUCAACAUUAAUAUAAUGUCACUCAUUGUGGGUCGAUCAUUUGCAUAAUGUUCAACACAUAAGAGACCAAUAUGAAUACACCUUUGCACUUCCUCGUGAUCAAAUACCUCAUUUAAUGAUGGAUCCAUUAAUUCAAAGUAUUUGUCAUCCUUCCAUAACUCCCAUACCUAUAUGUAUUUACUCAAGUUAGUUACAAUAAUAUAUAAUAUCAUGCCAAAAGAACAAACUUACCAAAGCUAAUUUUACAUACAUGUCCAACUAGAUUCAAAGGGUGAUCAUCAUCAUAAAAACUUGUGUUUUUUCUUCCACUAACUAUUUCAAGCAACAACACUCCAAAGCUAUACACAUCAGACUUUGUAGAAAAUAUUCCUUCCAUAGCAUAUUCUGGAGACAUAUAACCACUGCAAGAAAUUUCACACGAGAAAAUAAAUUUUAUUUAUACAUUGAUAUAAGAUAAAUGUAACUGAGUUUCGCAAGCUUACUAUGUCCCAACAACCCUGUUCGUAUUUGUCAUCGAGUCUUGUUGAGUAAACAUUCUAACCAUUCCAAAAUCUGAUAUUUUUGGAUUCAUAUUUUCAUCCAGAAGUAUGUUACUAGCUUUCAAGUCUCUAUGAAUGACUUUGAGUCUUGAGUACUUGUGAAGAUACAAUAAUCCUUGAGAAAUCCAUUUUAUUAUGUUGAAACGCUUAUUCCAAUGAAGUAAUUUGCUUCUUGUAGAAUCUUCUCCAUUUGUCAUAUAGUAGUGAUGUAUGUUAGAAUGUAUACUAUAAAAAUGUAAAAAAGAAAGUGACUUUUCUUCAUGAAAACUUGAGUAAUUAUAGUAAAUUUAAUUGAGAAAUAUCCUUGUUCACCUACAUAAGUGUUUGGAUAGCUGCAUGAUAAGGAAAACAAAAUUUAUCUGUUUAACAUCCUAAAUAAGACAUAAUUAGACAAUGAUAAACACAUUCUCACCGAAAAGAUGGAAAUCUAAGCUUUUGUUGGGCAUAUACUCGUAAAUUAGAAUCUUCUCUUCAUCAUGAAUGCAACAACCAAGUAGUUGAACAAGAUUCAUGUGCUGAAGUUCACAUAUAAGUGUUAGUUCAUUUUUAAACUCAACAAUUCCUUGUGCAGAACUUCUUGCAAGUCUUUUUAUAGCAACCUCCUCUCCUGUUGGCAAAGUUCCCUAAAGAAAUGAGAACAAAAAGGUCAUGAGUGCUUUGAAAUAAAGUUACCAAGACAUAACAUGAGUAGUUUCAAUCACCUUAUAAACUGGUCCAAAGCCUCCCUGUCCUAACUUAUUCUCUGAUGAAAACUCAUUUGUAGCUGCCACAACCAAUGUAUAAUCCAAUACUUUUAAACCGUAUUUCUUAUUCAAAUCAUUUCCUAAAAUUAGAGUCAUUUCUUUCCUUUUCUUCUCUGUUCAGAUGACAAUGAAAAAUAUUAAAAUACAGUGAUCAACAAAUCUUUUUAGCAAUGAGUUAGAAGAAUGUAAGUACCUUGAAGCACAUGUUUUCGUUUCUUUACUGCCAGGCAUAGAAUGGAUGCGCAUAGUAUGAGUAAAGUAGUUGCUAUUACUGUACUUAUCCAUAUCCACCUUUUUGUACCUGCAUACAACAACUCAAAAUCUUCAACUAUCAAUUAUUAAUUUUAUUGCUUUAUAUUUUUUUUCAACGCCAUUGUUAAGCGUUGCAGCCAAUGAGUUCUUUCCUUUUCAAUUCGGAGAUCAAAGACUUCUAAAAAAAGAAUUUUUUUUUGGUGCAGUUACCUAAAAUCCUCACUCUUGAUAAAGGGUCUAUUCAAUUUAGGGUAAAGGGUCAAGAAUUAGACAAAGAAGUUGUACAAAGAAAGAAAUGCUCAAGAAUUAUUCAUUUUUUUAUAAUAAAAUUAAAUUAAGAGGGAUAAAAAAAGGUAUCCCAACCCUUUUACACAAUCCAUACCACAUUAAGAGAUUACCAAAUAAAAGGAAGAAAGAAAAUAUAUGUUCUUUGCUGCGCUAAACACCUAGAUAAUAAAGGGUCUAUUCAAUUUAGGUAUGAUUGGAAUCUUUAGACUUUGCUGUACAUAUUUUAGGGUAUAAUUGAAACCAUUAGAAUUGAAACUUCUUUUUGGUGUAUAAAAAAUGAAAUGAAGUUGGCAUUAGACCUACCGUGAGGAUGAUCGAUUAUGUUCCCUUUGUUCUCAAGUAAGUAAAUGUCUUGACCCGAAACAGUGGCAUCAACUAUAUAAUCUUUUGAUGAAUUCCAUUGAAAGAAUCUACAUCCAGUCCCAUCUGUAUAGAGUUCUGCAAAUCCAUUGCAAUUACAAUCGCCCCAGCAAGCAGCCUCACAAUCACUGUGAUUAAUAUUCUCCUUUGUUUCAUAGGUUACAUUUUCAUCAUUAGAGUGAAUACUCUUUUUGGUAAACACAUCACCAGGAAUCCUGCACUUGGGUAUAUCCUGCCAUCUUUGGCACCCUCCUUCUGUGUUGUUGUAUCCAUAGCACAGAUCAGCCCUUGCAACAUAUCCCUGUUUGUCAUUGUAAUAUAACCUCCCAGUAUCCGAUAACGACCAGAUAUGUGUAAUGUUUUCAUUUGUAGAUGUGAAAGAGAAGGUGUCUUCAUCCAAAUUGGAGACUAUGCUGUACUUCAACACGGCUUGUGCAUCUUCUGGAAUGUGCUCAAAUCUAUUGUUCCUCAGUUUCCCACUUUUCCAACAAACUUUUCCUCGUCUCCUUAUCAUCAGUUCUUGUCCCCUCGGUUCCCAUUCAAGACUAAAGCCACCUGGAGUCGGACCGUCUUCAUUCUUCUGCGAAGAAAGUAACGAACGAUGGCCUGUUUUAUGAUUAACACCUAACUUCAUGGUGGGGAUCAAAGUCGCAAAGGGAUAAUCAAAACUCUGCCACAAGAGAGUGUUUGUCCCAUUGGAGUGAAGGUGUUGAAGCACAAAGUUGCCUGUGUCCAACAAAGUGGCCACAGUGUUGUUGAUAGGUUGAGGAGGAGAAUAGAGAAUAAUUGGUUUAUUCACAGAUGAAGAUUCUAUUUUCAGCACGCCAGAGAAGUUUAAGGAUAGAACUGCAUCGUUAUAGUCGACAGAUUGUUCUUUAUUACCCUCCCAAACUAUAGCAGCUUCAUAUUCACUUUGUAUUGUUAAGUAAGUGAGAAUUUCACCUCCACUUGUUACAGAAUUAAAAUACAGAAGAUAUUUGCGACUCUUAGAAUAUAGUUCUGAAGAGGUGUUGAAUGUGUCACCGGGCUUUAAACUGUCAUCUGCUGCAUCAACAUGAGUAGAAGAACUGAAGCAGAACCAGAGAUGCAUGAAAGCAAGCAGAAGUUUGUGAAGGAUAAGCCUCAUAGGAUGCUUCAAAUAUGGAAAGACUAAUCUGCAAGAAGAAGGUGAGACUGUGAUACUAUGUCGUAAGUUCAAAUAAUGUGUAUCUACUUUUUAAGUGCAAUUAUUUUCGUUGUAAAAAAUUAUCUGUCAAAGCAUCAGAAAUCAAACUUGAUAAAACCUAAAAUCUAAAGCGAGGUUGUCACAUUCAUUUCAUAAAAAUAACUAUACAAUAUUUUUUUCACAAGACUUAAUUCAUUGUGAACUGAUUUAUUUGUUUUACAAUUACUAUAUAUUUUUACUAUUAUUAUUAUUUAAAUAACAUUCUGUUAAGUAAUGCUUAUUUAAGCAAAGAAAUAAAAUGUCACUAAUCAUAAUACAUUAAAAUUAGAAAAAGAUUAUGAGUGAAUAAAAAUAAAUAUUUUUUUUUUAAUUACACACCAAAAAUAAUAUAAUUAUUUUAAUUUAAAUCUUUUAUUAUUAUUUUUUGUUUUCAGCGUUAAAGAAAAAACUAAAGGAAUAUCAAGACUAAAAGUAAUAAAAAGUUUAGAGGGAUUUAACUUAAGUGCAUAACUUUAAACAUACAUAAUAUUUGUAAUUAUCUAUACGUGUGUGCAUAUAUAUAGAUAUAUUAAAAUACAUAUCUAAAAAAUUAAAAUAUAACAGAGGAAUACAUUAAAAAUUAUGACAAAAUAAAAAGUAUAUAAAUUACAAUUUCAAUACCUGUUAAGAUACAAAAUAUUUUACUAGCACUUGCACGUGAUUUUUUUUUCUAAUUUAUUUAUUUUUUAUCUGAAUUAAUAGAAUAAAAGGAACUUUAAAGUGUCCAACAUCAACCAAAACCAAACCUAAUUAAAGCAAACAACAGAAAGUAAAAUAUAUUUGUUUAGUGUUAUAUUGUUUAUAAUAGUUAAAAUAAUAUAAAAAAAACUAUAAAUUAUCUUCAUUUCAUCGAUAUAAGUCAGAAUAACACAGAACAAUUUAGAAUUUCUGAAAUUCGUGUUCCUUUUCUGUUGGAAAGAAAAAGAAAAGAUGUUUUAGUAAAAGAAAAGAAAAGUACCACUUAUCUUUACUAAAAAAAAUCGAAAAAAGUAUGGAUAAGUUGAAUACUCGAAAUUAGAUUGUAUUUUUGAAGGUACAUGUUUUAUAAACACUUCUAAAAUUAAAAAGAAAAAUCCUUUCUUUAUACAAGGUAAAAUUACUUUAUAAAUAAAUUAAAAAUUAUAUAUACAAAAUUAAUAAAAAUAUUUUUUACAAAUAUAUAAAUAUUUUUUAAUUCAUAAACGAAUUAUUUUUAAAAAAAUUACUUUUAGAAUGUUCGCACAUGAUAUAUUAAUAUAAAGGGAAACACGUUAAGAAUGGCCGACAAAAGUUUGUGUUAUGGGACCUAUAUCUUUCGUUUCCUUUUGGUUUUGAGUAAUCUAUUGUCUUCCAUUAUUGAACUUUAAAAGAUAUGGGAUAUCAUUUUAGCAUGGACAAGUUUAACACUUUUUUUCACACAAUAGGAAAAUUAUGAGUUCAUAUUUAUUAGAGGUUCAUAAAAAAUUUAAAAGAAUUAGUAUAUAAAAGGAACUUAGAAGAGGCUUGAAUCUAUGUUUUUUUCUAAAUUGUGUUUAACUUUACUAAUUUUAGUUUUUAUCUAUCAAACAAUAAAUUUUCCCACGGUUUUGUUUUUAAUUUAAAGAUUUAAUUACCUUCGUCCCUACAUUUAGGGUCAAUAUUCAAUUUAGUACAGUAUUUUUUAAACAAAUCAAUUUGGUCCCUAUGUUUUUAAAAAUGUAUCCAAAAUUUUCCUUUCUGUUAAGUCGCACGAAACAACGUUAAGUGGUGCUUAUGUGGCAAAGAUAAGGGGUUAUGUGGACUGUCAAGUAGGUGACACUUUGUUUUGGGUGAUUAGGGUUUCGGGUAUGAGAUUGGAUAGGCAGAGAUUAAUAAAUUCUGGUUGUUAGGGUUUCCGUACGUAAAUGUUUUUGCUUGUUGCCUUGUUCACAUAAACGAGUAAGUUGACAUAUAGGAGGGUCGUCGUUUGGGGUGGAGUCUGGUGAUUGUGGAUUCGUUGGUUGGGGAGGAGUAAUCAGCGUUUGUGAUUCGUUCAUGGGUGUAGAUCUGUUUGUGGUGGAAAUGUGUGUGCCUAUAGGUCUGCAUCUGUAUCAUCAUGCAGUUGUAAUCGAGUAGGUUCCUCAAUCGCUGCCCCUUCACGAGCUCUGGAUCACACCUCAGAAUGGAUUUGGGAUCGCACCACGGGAACGCACUACACAAUCGAACGUCACAUCACACCACAAGAUCGCACCUCUAGAUCCUUGUUCACAAUCGCACCUCACACCAUACAAUGCGUAAUCCCCAAGUGAAAUUAUUGUAACCCUAACCCCCAAUUCAUUCCUGACUAAGCUAAUGUAACCAUCCACGUCGCUUGACACGUCUCUGCCAUAUAAGCACCACUUAACGUCGUUUCGUGCGACUUAACAAAAAGAAUCAUUUUGGAUGCAUUUUAAAAAAUAUGGAGACCAAAUUGAUUUUUUAAAAACCACUGUACUAAAUUGAAUAUUGGUCCUAAAUGUAGGGACGGAUAAGGUAAUUAAAUCUAAAUUAAACAAUUUUGAUUUGUUGUCAUCAUGUAUAAUCCCACUCAACAUUAUUUCCAAGGUUAAUUAGAGUAUAGUAUAUGUUUUUUACCAUUAAACAAAAAUAAAUAUGAAAACUUUGUAUUUUGUUAUACUAGAUCAUAUCAAGAUACAUUAUUUAAUGUAAAUUUUGGUUCAGCUAAAAUCUAAGUUUCAAGUUUUUGGAUCAUUCGGAUUUUCUUCAUCUAAUGGUUUAUGGUGGUCUUAUGAGUAUCAUCUCUUAUCGAUAUUAUUGUUUGAUGGAUAUCAUUGUUUGAUGGGCAUCAACGUCUGUAUUGAACUACUGCUUUUGGAUCGUCUACUUCUUUUAUUUAAGUUUCUCUGUAACUGUUAGUGCCUCAUGAUAUUUGAAACUCAAUUGUUGUACACGUCGUUGAUUUGUAUGAGAAACGUGCAUAGUAGGAAGUUGUAAGGCAGUUAUUUUUUGUCUUGUAGUUAUGAAAGUGAACUUGACAGUUUUCAAAAACAUAAGAGUAGAGAGUGUUGUUGCGAGGUUUAGAGAGAAACUUUUUGUUGUAACCUUUAAGGAUACUCAUCGUGGACGUAAACUUCAUUAACAAUAUAAACCACGUAAAAUUGCUUUUGUGAUUUUCAUACUCUGUUCUACUCCGUUUUACUUUCUCAUUCACGGUUUCUCUUUUUUUUAUUAAUAUUAUUUUGAUUAAAUGAUCCAGUGAAUUGUGUUUGCACUCAACAAAAUGGUGCGAUGAACAUGGAAUGAAGAAACUCAAACAAGAUUACUUCUGCAAAGUAUGAGGUUGACAAAUUCACUGGAUUGAAUGAUUUCUAGCUAUGGCGGUUGAAGAUGCAUGCUCCUUUAGUUCAAUGGACCUUCUUGAGGCUUUGGAAAGAGAUUUCAGGUCUGAAAAACUCAUGACUGAAAACGACAAGACUACAUUGUUAGAAAAGGCUCUUAGUGCAAUUUUUUUGAGUCUUGGUGACAAGGUCCUAAGGCAAGUUUCAAAGGAGAAUAUUACUAUGAGGUUAUGGACGGACUAUCUUGAAGCCACUUUAAAAAAACGUUACGUAUAACUUGUGGCUCUCUCACCCAAAAAAAAUGGGCGUACUCUCACUACAAGAAAACAUCAAAUUAACUUUCAAAUAUUAGCGUUGGCCAAAUUCUGACGUUGUUAUAGGAAUCAACUUAAGAGCUUGUCGAUGAGCUCGCCUGGGAUUUGAUAUAUGAACCUCCUAACAAUGCUCGGAACAUAGGUUGUAUUGAGGAGUGUGCAUACCAUUCAUACAUAACAAAACCAACUAUAUUAGCAUAUGUAAUACUGUAUAUAUAGCAUUAUUCCUCCAUUAUUUUAUGAGAUUUUUCAUCAUUCAACUUAUAAUGAGAUGCAAUAUGUGUGGAUAUAGGUUUUAAGUUUUUCAUACUAAACUUCACAAGGAUUUAUUUGAGAUAGGUCUCAUAGGACACAUGUAGAUGUUUCAAAUCACAUCGUCUAAUGAUCUUAAUCACCAAUAUAUUCCUAACUCCUAGGUCCUUCACAUGAAAGUCAUUGUUUAACAUAAAGUUAACCUUUUGUACAUCGGGUUUAUUAUCUUUUUCUAUUAAAAUGUCAUUUACAUACAUCAACAAUACAAUGAAGUGACCUUCUAAUAGAAACUUGAAGUAAAUGCAACUAUCUCUUGCUAUGUUAAAAACCAAUGCUCAUAAUGAACUCAUCAAAUCAUAUAUUCCAUUCCCUAUAAAGAACAUGUAUAUGGUGACGAUUAUUUUUGUAUAAAGUUGCAUUUACAACCGUCACAAUCUACAUGUGUGGUAAUUCUGUGUACCUCCACUGAUCUGGCCUUCAAAAGUAUAAUGUGACGGUCUAUAAACACCACUUUAUAUAUUAUAGUAUAAUGUUUGUAACCGUCACUAUUAUAUUAAAUUGUGAAUUAUUGUACGUUAGUAAUAACGGUUGUAAUUAGAGAAUUAAAUAUUUUAAUUUUUAAUAUUACAAUUUUUAAUAUUUUAUUGAAAUUGUUUUUAUAAUUUUCAACUUUUGUUCAUGAUAUAAUUAACUUGUUUCAAUUUAGACUAGCUGAAUUUUCUGAACCCACAACUAGUGCAAGAAAAUAUCAUGCAAGAAAAUAUCAUUGUUCCUCAUCACCUGAGGGUAUAACCUAAAUUAACAAGCUAAUAUGGUUAAACUCCAAUUCUAAUUACACAACACUAAAAAUGGACUCCUUUGUCACAACAAGGUGGUCUUCCCAUGUCAUCAACGUGUACAUGUUUAAGAGUAAGUAAAUCCAAGUUUACUUUAAAUAUCUGAACUAUUUGUGUAGCUUGCAUUUCUUUGCUAGUAAAGAAAAAAAAAUGAUGAUACCAAAUAAAAAAUUUAUCUCCACAUAUGCAAGCAGACAAAAUCAAGUAUCAAUUGCCAUAGAUCAUUGAGCUAAAAUUUGUUUCAAAACUUUUAGUUGAGCUGCUUAAUUAGAACAUUGAAGUGUCCAUUCCCAUCCUAUCUUAUGAGUGCAAAUGAUCUUCACACCACUUUACCAAAUUCAGGUGGAAGGCUAUUUAUUACUAGCACAUGUAAUGAUGACACUCAAUUGUAAUGCUAGUGAUAUAAAACUGGGAGCAGAGAUAACAAUUAAAUAAGAUGAGAACAAAAUAAAAGGAAAACAAUCUAGUAAAAAAUUAUUUGAUCAGCAUUAAUCAUCAUAAGGCAUCAUCUAUAAAGAUGAUUGCAAAAUGUUCCACAUAAUACUCUUAACACUUGUUGAUGUAGAGGAAAUAGACUAAGAUAAAGAACAUAUUUAACAAGACUUAGCAGAAAAUAAUAAUAAAAAUAAUAAGCUCAACAUCCUAUAAUAUUAAUACUCAUCCAACAAGAUUCAAGAUUCAAAAACAAAAUCUUGUCAGAAAAACAAAUCUGCUAAAUAAGACUAAAAGUACUAGACAACAUAACAACCAGAUAUCAAAACUUAGCAAAUAUGAAAACCAGAUAUCAAAACUUAGCAAAUAUGAAACAUACUUGAAGCAUAUGGUAAACCACCUGAAAUACAACUGAAGCAUCUAUGAUUAUUUUGUGUUUGGGAAUAUCCAUUAGUGUGCAAAAAAUAGUCAGCAGAUUUCUUUGUGUUAGAGGAUUUUCCAUUUCCUGAAACAUCAAAAGAUAUGAAGUUUGAAUCCACUUAUACUUAUUACCAAGAUGACAAACAUGACUCAAGAAUGAAGGGAGGGUGUCAUUCAAGUUGGUGGGGUAACUACGUCUUCGCGGUAAUGGCAGAGAUAGAACUAACGGCAACGACGCAUUGGGGUGGAUGCGUGUGGUGUGGGAUAUGAGAGUGAGAAGAGUUGGGUUAGGGUAUUUAUGAGAAUGGUUGAUGAUUCCAGGGUGAGGGGUCUGUGUUUCCAAAUGAGAGGAUUUCCAAAGAGAAGAGAUGAGAGUGUUUGCAUAGGGGUAAAAGAAAUGAUAUUUGUAGGAAUACAAUGUUUUGGGGAAUAAUAAUUUUUGGAAAAAAAGAAGAAUGUUGUGGAUGGAAUGGGGAAAAUUAGUUGAAGGAAAAAGAUGAAUGUGAUGGAGGCAACAAAAAUGUAGAGAGCGGUAUACUUCAUAAAAUGGCGAUGACAUAUUUUGAAGAGGAAAUGUGAUGCUAAUUAACAUGUCGUAUUAAGAGGGAGCAGUAGCAAUUUUUAUGCAUAUCAGAAUGCUUUUUUUUGGUGUUGAAUAUAAGUUGUGUUAGUAAAGACUCUGGCCAACUUCAUACCUUUUUUGUGGGUUUUUUCUGCUACCUAAUUGGGAUGCACAAGAGCUGCAUAAUUGAAGUUUUUGCUGCAUAAUUUUUUCUGGACUUGUAGGGGAAAUUAUGCAGGUUCUUUGUAGAAUUUUGCAGCCUCUAAAGGAGUUAUGCAGGUUCUCUUUCACUGCAGAAUUCUACAGCUUUAGUAUCUUAUUGGAAAUUCACAUGGAUCUAAUCUUUUGGAUGUUGGCCCUUGUAAAAGGGUUGGGACACCUCUUAAGUGUUCCUAGUAAUUUAAAUUCAUUCUUUGCUGAUAAAAAAAAAAUACGAAUAAUUGUGACAAAUUUUAAUAAUCGUCAUAUUAAAACCGCCACAACUUACAUAUUUUUUGUAGUGGUUGACUUAUCGAUUGUUUCAGACCAUGCAAGGAUAUGUUUAACUUAAAAACAUAAUGCUCUUUGUCUCCUAUCUCAAAUCAUUCUGGUUGCUUCAUGUAGAUAGUCUCCUUUAAUUAUCCAAAUAGGAAUGCAACCCUAACGUCUAUUUGUUCCAUCUCAAGGUUAAGUUCAACAACCAUGGCUAACAACAUCCAAAUAGAUUUGUCCUUUACUACAUGAGCUAACACAUUAUUAUAUUUAUCUCCUUCACUCAGAAAAGCCUCUAACCACCAAUCUCGCUUUUAAUUUUUUUAACUAGUUUGUGGAAUACCAUAUUUACAGCUAACCGACCUAGAACCAACAGGUCUAUAUGAAUAAGAGUCCAGGUAUUGUUCAGAUGAAGUGAAUUCAUCUCUUCAUUCAUGGUGGGAGAAGGCUUCUAUCUAGGUUAAGUGACAAAUGGAAUUAAUUUAGUGGUGGAAAAGUGAAAUGGUCAAAUGGUAUAGAAGUGGUUGUGGAAUGAUUUCUUGGAGAGAUAGUGUGGGAAAGUUGGUCAUGUGUUUGGUUGAAUAUGGUUUUGUGUUUUGGGGUGAUCUUUGUCGACUUUUGUGGAUAGAGGGGAUAUGAGAUGGGAAGCUUGACAAAAUCACAACAUAGAUACAAAAUAAAUGUAAUGGACCAAGCAAUGGACCAAGAUGCUAAUGGAGAAAAUGAAAAUGGAAUAGGAGUAAGUAAAGGUGGAGAUUUCCUUACCAAGUGUACACAUCCUAGGUUGGGCGGCCAUAUCCUAGACGGUCUCUUGAGACUCUUCUUAGAGGGUCCAAGAAGACAAUAGGAAGGAAGGCUACUUGGGAAAACUCAACCAAACAACUUUUUUUCAUGCUCAAACUCACUCACAAAAUGUGUGAUUUUACAUGGGCGAAUGUGCUCUUUUAUAGCCUAAGAGUCAUGAUAGUCAAGCUUCUAAGGAGAGUGUGAGACUUCUUAACACACGAUUUCCUUAGGAUUUUCUUAUUAUACACUAGUUAGACUUAACCAAACGGUCUACUGAGACCAUCUACCAAAUAUGAUAGAAAUUGUAAAUGAAACUCUAGAUGGUCUAACAUGAUAAGACUGUCUAGUAACAUUUAAACAAGUUUUUACCGAAUCAAUCUUCACAUAUUUGAAUGAUUUGAGGGAAAAAUUAAAAAUAAAACAAACAUUUACUAUCUUAAAAAUAUAACAAACAUUUCUUAACUGACAAUGCAUAAGUAAAUAUCGUUUCUAUUUUUAUUGGUACAUAGCUCACUCAGGUUUAUUCUAUUUCCAACGAAGUAGUAAUUUCUACUGUAGAACUAGUACACAACUCUGAAGAAAAUAACUUCUCAUUAAACAUCUCUCUUUGAAUAUAAAAUGCUGGUUUUUUAGGUAAAGACACUAUUGCACUCUUGUUUGUCAGCAUUGAUAUAACGUCAGACAUGGUUGGUCGAUCAUUUGCAUAUUGUUCAACACAGAGGAGACCAACAUGAAUACACCUCUGCACUUCAUCAUAAUCAAAUGACUCAUUUAAUGAUGGAUCCACUGAUUGAAAACACUUGUCAUCUAUCCAGAGUUCCCAUACCUGUAACUAUUUUAUUCAAAUUAGACAUAAAGAAUAUUAUACCAAAAAACAAACUCAUGAAAAUUAAUUUUACAUACAUGUCCAAUUAGAUUUAUUGGGCGAUCCUCAUCAUAAAAACUAGUGUUUUUACGUCCACUAACAAUUUCAAGCAACAAGACCCCAAAGCUAUACACAUCAGACUUUGUAGAAAAAACUCCUUCCAUAGCAUAUUCUGGAGACAUGUAACCACUGCAAGAAAUAUUAUAUCAAAAAAUAAAUUUUAUUUAUAGAUUGAUACAUAAGUUAAAUAUAACCAAGUUUAACAAGCUUACUAUGUCCCAACAACCCUGUUCGUAUUUGAUACUGAGUCUUGUUGGGUGAACAUUCUAGCCAUUCCAAAAUCUGAAAUUUUUGGAUUCAUAUUUUCAUCCAGAAGUAUAUUACUAGCUUUCAAGUCUCUAUGAAUGAUUUUGAGUCUUGAGUACUUGUGAAGAUACAAUAAUCCUUGAGCAAUUCCCUGUGUUAUGUUGAACCGUUUAUUCCAAUCUAGUAAUUUGCUUCUUGUACAAUCUACCACAUGGUAAAAAGAAUAAAAUGACUUUUCUUCAUGAUGUUAUAACUAGGAAAAUUGAGUAAUUCUAGUAAAUCUAUCAUCAACAAACAAUGACAGUUGAGAAAGAUCAAUUUGACCUACAUAUGUGUUUGAAUAGUUGCAUAAUAAUGAAAACAAGUUUUAUCUGUUUGACAUCAUAAACAAGACAUAAUUAGAUAAUGAUCAACACAUUCCUCACCGAAAAGAUAGAAAUCCAAGCUUUUGUUGGACAUAUACUCGUAAAUUAGAAUCUUCUCUUCUUCAUGAAUGCAACAACCAAGUAGUUGAACAAGAUUGGUGUGCUGAAGUUCACAUAUAAGUGUUAGUUCAUUUUUAAACUCAACAAUUCCUUGCGUAGAACUUCUUGAAAGUCUUUUUAUAGCAACCUCCUCUCCUGUUGGCAAAGUUCCCUAAAGAAAUGAUAACAAAAAGGUCAUGUGAGUCCUCCGAAAUAACUUUACCAGCACAUAACAUGAGCAGUUUCGAUCACCUUAUAAACUGGUCCAAAGCCUCCCUGUCCUAACUUAUUUUCUGAUGAAAACCCAUUUGUGGAUGCCACAACCAUUGUAUAAUCCAAUACUUUUAAACUGUGUCCCUUAUUCAAAUCAUUUCCAAAAUCUUCUAUUAGAGAUAAUUUCAUCUCCAUUUCUUUCCUUUUUUUCUCUGUUCAGAUGAAAAUGAGAAAUGUUAAAAUAUAGAAUAGUGAUAAAAAGAUUGUGUUUAACAAUGAGUUAGAAGUAUGUAAUGUAACUAACCUUGAAGUACAUGUUUUCGUUUCUUUAUGGCGUGGCAUAGAAUGCAUGCGCAUAGUAUGAGUAAAGCAGUUGCUAUUACUGUACUUAUCCAUAUCCACCUUUUUGUACCUGCAUAAAACAACUCAAAAUCUUCAAGUAUCAAUUAUAAUUUUACUGCUUAUUUCCUUUCCUAUUUGGAGAUCAAAGACUGCUAAAAAAAUGUGCAGUUCCCUAAGAUCCACAGUAAAGUUGUACAAAGAAAGAAAUGCACAAGAAGUAUUCACUCUUGAAAAAGGGUGUAUUCAAUUUAGGUAUGGUUGGAAUCUUUAGACUUUGCUGUACAUAUUAUAGGGUAUGAUGGGAACCAUUUGAAAUGAAACUUCUUUUUGUCUAUAAAAAAAUGAAAUGAAGUUGGCAUUGGACAUACCUUGAUGAUGAGGGAUUAUGUUCCCUUUGUUCUCCAGUAAGUAAAUGUCUUCAGCCGAAACGGAGCCGUCAACUAUAUAAUCUGUUGAUGAAUUCCAAUGAUAGAAGAAACAUCCAGUUCCAUCAUCAUAGAUUUGUUUGAAUCCAUUGCAAUUACAAUGGCUCCAGCAAGCAGCCUCACAAUCGCUGUAACUAAUAUUCUUAUUAUAGUCAAAGGUUAGUUUUUCAUAACUAGAGCGAAGACUCUUUUUGGUAAACACAUCACCAGGAAUCCUGCACUUGGGUAUAUCUUGCCAUCUUUGGCACCCUCCUUCUGUGUUGUUGUAUCCAUAACACAGAUCAGCCCUUGCAACAUAUCCAUCUUUGGCAUUGUAAUAUAACCGCCCAGUAUCUGAUAGCAACCACCGACGUGUAUGGCUUUCAUUUGUAGAUGUGAAAGAGAAGGUGUCUUCAUCCCCAUUGGACACUAUGCUGUAGUUCAACACGCCUUGUGCAUCUUCUGGGAUGUUCUCAAAUCUAUUGUUCCUCAGUUUCCCACUUUUCCAACAAACUUUUCCUCGCCUCCUUAUC